rnacentral:lncRNA from 1 species
GGUGGUGGUGGUGGCGGCUCUGUGGCUGCUGCUGAGCAGCGCGCUGCUGCGUCUUCUGCAGAAUGGCGGCCUGCGUCUGGCGCAUCAUCUGCUGCUGCUUGCGGUCCUCCACCCGCUGCUUCUCAAACUCGCGCUUCUUCCGCGCGCGACGCUCCUCCUCCGUCUCCACUCUUGGCAGCGUCGCCUUAGGCGGCUGCUCCUUUGGGGGCAGCGGGGCUUGGACAGACGGUGGCUGGGCCGGAGGCGGAGGGGGCGGGGGCGGGGCCGCAGGGGGUGGGGACGGAGGCGGGGGUGGCACCGAAGGGGGAGGAGGAGGCGGGUUGCUGGUCCCGCCGUAGGGCGGCGGCGGCGGCUGGUAGUACAUCUGCGGCGGGGGCGGGGGCUGCUGCGGAGGCCCGGGACCGAAAUUGAACUGCGGUUGGUGAGGUGGCGGCGGGCCGGGUGGCGGCGGCGGCGGGGGCCCCGCGUGGUAAGGCGGCGCCGGCAUCCUGUUGUACGGCGCCUGCUGCGGCGGCGGCGCGUACGGAUUCAUCUGCGGCGGGUAGCCGCCCUGCGGUGGCGGUGGCGGCGGAUGCUGCUGCGGCGGCGCGUAUGGCCUGUACGACGCCAUCGCGCGGCGGCUAGGGUUUCCCGGAACCCGAGCCCCAGCACACAGACCCCGCGCCCGCGGCCACUGCUCGCUCCCCCGUCUCCUCCUCCGUCGCCGCCACCGCAAAAGCCUCUACCACUGCGCGUCCGAGGCCACCGGCACCUAUUGUACCAGAUGUCCAGAUCUACACGGCGGCGUGCGGGAGCGCGAGGUAGUCGGCGUCUCGGCGAUUGGGCGAGGAGCAGGAGGGGCGAUGGGAAUUUCACGAGAGCCUGUGAUUCUGCCUGGCUUUUUUUUGUCCAGGUUUGAAUGAAUUUGGCUGGAUUUUGCCCGGGUUUGGAUAUCAAUUCAGAUUUUGUAGCAUUUAUUUAUUUAUUUAUUUAUUUAUUUAUGCAGAAUUUAUUUAUUUGCAUUAGUGUACUUUUGGGUUUGGGAUGUAAUAAAACGGCCUCUUGCAGGUCAGAUAAACUAGUGGUGACGACGGCUUGAAAUAUACUGCCUAAAUGUGUGUUGGGUUUUAAUUGAGUUUGUCCAUUAAACACCUAGGUGUUGGCACACCUGACCCAACGGCCACGCUCUUCCCCUCUCCCUCCUCGUCCACUGUUGCUAUCUUCUCUCUCGGUCGUCGCCAUCUUCUUCAACUCUAGUGAGCCUCCCUCACUCCGACUUGCUCUAGCCACCACUACCACCGCCAACCAUCCUCCACCGCCUGACUUGUCUACCUCGCUCUCUCGGCUAGCCCCUUCUAUACCGUCGGAGUUGGAGAAGAAAGAGGGGAAGAGCUCGUUGAAACCCUAACUGGCAGAUCUAAAGGAGGGGGAGGAGGAGGAGGAUGAGGAGACCUACCUCGGCGGAUCCGCCAUAGUCGACGAGCUCGCGCGUGAGUGGGCUUGCUGUGCGCAGGUAGUACUCUCCUGGAUGAUGUCGCCAGGCACGGGUGGGGCUCACCGGGACAUGGGUGGUGCUCCUCUGGAGGAUGUCGUCGGGGCACGGGUGAGGGUCGCCGAGAGGAGGCCGCCAGGAAGGAGCUUGUCGGCGCCGAGAAGAGAGAGGGAGAGAGGAGUGUUGGGGAAAGAAAAUAAAGGAAGAGAGGGGUGGGGGAGGCGUCGGGUGUGGGCGCACACUGUAGCGGAAAAAACGUGUGUGGAAGCGGUAAUAGCGUAAAGCACUUAGUUGAGUGUUAUUGUUUCUGUUUUAAUGUAAACAAAGCACUAAAUAAAUGCUAAUAAAGACGUUGCUUCGAGGGAUUAUAUUUCUUAUGUCUUUUACACUUAUCUUUUGUUUCUCAUGUUUUCUUUUGACGUGUCUUUUACACUUUUCAUAUAUUCUUGACUUUUCAUCACCGAGAAAUUGAAAAAAAAAUUGUUAUACUAAAUGUAUAGCGCAUAUCUCCAUAUAUUAGGUAUCUUAAGAGGAUUAUUUUUUUGUAAAUCAAAUUUUGUUGUGAUUCGGAAUUGAUGGUCCAAAUCAACUUCAUCUUUUACCCCUUCCUCAUCCACCUCCCUCCAUCUACUCGUGGAGUUUGAGGUGCACUCGGAUUUGAUAUGUAUUAAACUUCAAACUUGGUUGGACCACCCAUGUUGAUUUUCUCCGCCUCCAUGUGUCUCUUGCUGAGAAAAGAUUUCAUCCAAUGGUGCCUUACUAAUCAAGGGAUUUUGAAGGAGCAUCAAUGUAUAAACAUUUAGUAAACCAAAUAGCACUAACUUUGAAUGAGUCUCCUCCACAUCAAAUAGAGGUCUUCGUGUGCUUCUUAUUUGAGGAGGUUUAUUGUCACAUGUUGCAAAAAUUAAUUGAAGAGCCCUUCAAGUCGUAUCUAGUUUACAGCCGCCAAGUAAUAUGACACUUUAAGGGUUUUGGCUUCACCAAUUAUUAGACUAAACAAUUCAAUCUCAAAUAUGUGAGAGCAUUUGCAAAUUUGGUCUGUUAAAUAGGUUAAAAUAGAAACGGUGUAUUAUUUGACCAAAACAUUUCUUAUUUGCAAGUUAUUCUUAAGGUCACAUACUCACUUCUAUCAUCAUCCUUCAAAAGAAAUGUGACAAGCCAAGUUUGAAAUAGACAUGUUGUAUGUUGUGUGUCCGAGACCGUGACAGCGGAGAGCUUCACUUCAUCAUCGUCGGAAUGAACCUAGUAAUUUGCAAGAAUGGAUGUUUGUCGUCUAAUACGCUUAGCAACAAGGGCGCGUUUGGUUCCUGGAUGAGUUGCUUCACCAAAAUGGCACAGGCCCCAAAAAAACUUGUUCGUGCGGAGGGCAGUUUUUGCUCCCCGUGGGUAGCUAGGGAAAUAGUGAGCAAUCUACGGGUCUUUGUUAGUUCUUUCGGUGAAAAGCUUUAAGGUAUUCUAUCAUUUUUUGUUUAUAUUUAAAAAUUAUUGCCAAAUUAUAGAUUAACUAGGCUUAAAAGAUUCACCUCGGCAAAUUGUGUAAUUAGUUAAUUUUUAUCUAUAUUUAAUGUUUUAUUCAUGUGCCGCAAGAUUCAAUGUGAUGGAAAAUUUUCAAAAGUUUUUGGAUUUCCGUUCGCUUGUCUUAUAAGCCAUACUUUUUCUGCGAGCCAAUAGUGUUUUUCUCUCACGAUAAAUCAGCGAACAAUAUUUUCAGCCUGGACCAGCGAACAGGCUUAGGCCUUGUUUAGUUUUCCGGGUGAAUUUUUUUGGGUAUUGUAGCACUUUCUUUGUAUUUAAUAAUUAUUGUUCAACCAUGGACUAACUAGACUCAAAAUAUUUGUCUCGUAAAUUACAGACAACUGUGCAAUUAGUUAUUGUUUUAUCAAUAUUUGAUGCUUCGUGUAUGUGCCGCAAGAUUCAAUAUGAUGAGAAAUCUUAAAAAGUUUUUGAAACUUAGGUGUAACUAAAUAAGGCCUAAACAAGGUCUUACCGGCAAAGAACCUAGAUAAGCCAGCAAAGUUUCCAAACACAGCAGCAGCACCUAAAUCUGUUUGCUUGGCUUAUAAGCUAUUUUUUUCUUCCAGCCAACAAUGUUUUUCUCUCAUAAUAAAUCAGCAAACAGUACUAUCAACUAUUACUUUUUGAGAGGAUUUUUAAAAUAGACUGAGGCUAGAUCUGCAAUAGCAAAUGGUUGUAAAAGUUGUAAUAAACAAUAAUUUUUAUGAAUUUUUUUCUCUUUUUUUUAUGGUAGCACUUUCAUUUGUAUUUGAUAAUUAUUGUUCAAUUAUAGAUCAACCAGGCUCAAAAGAUUCGUCUUAAAUAUUAAAGACAAAUUGUGCAAUUAAUUAUUUUUUAUCUAUAUUUAGUGUUUUAUGUAUGCAUUUAAAUAUUUAAUGGGAUGAGAAUUUUGGGAGCGUAUUCUGUGGUAGCUGCUAGCACGUUGGGGCAGCGGCGGCAGAGCAUAGCUGCUGCUGCUGCCGACGCUAGUUCAAUUCGCUGGUUUCAGCAAAAGCUCCAGCAAAGGGUGUCGCUGCCUGCAGCGCAUCGCACCAUCCAGUUCUGAACAUGCACUGAUGCUAUGCUAUGAGGGACUUGAAUUGCUGCCGGAAAAGAGCGGGCCAAAAGUCUAGAUGGGCCUGUCACUCUGCUUCGUUUUCCGCUUGCAGGCAGGCCAGCCCGAGAACACGCACAUGUAUUGCUGCUACCAAAAGGGCGCCAACAACUGAACAAGGCUCUGUCCUCCUGUGCCGUGCAGGUCUUCACUGCCUUUUUUUUUUUGGACUACUAGAGUCUGGCCCCUCUUUUGUUUGACUGUAACUUGUAUCAUCAUUAGUAUGUACAGAUGGCCAACAGGCCGGCACGCCCUCAGGCCAGCACGGCCUGGUGGAGUGGUGGGGGUCGGGCUGUCACGGGCCACCAUGCCUAAUAGGCCAUGCCGAGGUGGGCUUUGUGCCUGACCUACGGCCUAGGCAUGGCCUGUUGGGCCACCGGGUCAGCCCGAAAGCAUGUUGUGUGUCGGGCAGCCCGACUCGCUGAGCUCGCACCUAGGCCUAGUGCGCCGUGCCGUGCUGCAACGAGGAGGCAAGGAGCUGACAGCGCCACCGCUAGUCAGCGGAGGAGCGGGCCAGUAGGGUCGACUGGUCGAGCGGACCGUCGUGCUCGCACCUAGAGGCGUGGAAAGAGACCGGGCGGUGCACCCCCACCGAGCAGGUGGAGCUCGGGGCUAAGGCUGUUGAAGUGCCAGCUGGAGACCUUCACGACUUCACCCUGUCUCACCUAGUGAGAUGGAGAAGAGUCAGGGGGAGGAGGGGAGAGACGAGAGGCAUCGAGGCCGACGACGACGGGACCGAGCGGCGCGGGGUGGGGCGGCGACGCUGCCCGUUGCGUGCGAUUGGGAGGCAGGGGAGAGGUGAGAGAGUGAAAAGGUGUAGGGUGGGGAAGUUAGAGUUGCUGGUGGGCUGGUGCCUACUGCCUAGUGGCCUGGUGGGAUUAGUUGUCGGGGCUGUCACCGUGCCUAUCAUUUGAGCGGGCAUGCCGCUUGCCUCGGAUAUGGCCCAGGCUCGCCCUGGUCCCCUAGGGCGUGUCGUGCUUGGGAAGGGCUAACGAGCUCGGGCCUCAUGGGUAACUAUAUCAGUAUGAUACCAUCAUCGGAUUUUAAACCAGGCCUUAGUUUAGAUCCAAAACCUUUUUGGAUUUUGAACACUGUAGCGAGUUUCGGUUUCAGGGCUUUCUUUUUACCCAUGGGUUUUUUUUGUUCGGAUACCUGAAAUGUUGUGGUUUUGGUGUGGAUCUCUAAUUCCACCCGCAGAUCUCCAUUGGAGCCCGAAAUACUCAGCCGACUAAUGGCCCAACUAACAACCCUAGAUAUAUAACCUAAUGAAAUCCUCGGUUCUUUGCCCUCUCCCUCACCUGUUCUCCCACCCAAGCGCCGCCCGCCGCACACUCGCACGCCGCACUCGUAGUUAGGCACUCGAGGCAUCCCAGAUUCGAGGAUUCCCGUAUAGCCAAACGCGAGGGAAAGAUCAUUUCUAGUGAUAGUCACAAGAUCCUUUUAUCAAGUAGUGGGAAAACCAUAAGUAUUCCUUUAGUUGCCCAUCGGUGGUCUAACAAAAAUACUUGUAUGCACCAAAAACCUCGGGUUCUGUGGGGUAAAUCCGUUAAAAAAGGCAAAUUUUAGCGGAAGGAGCCGCUACAGUUGGUGGGGAACUUGCUUUAGGAAAAAAUAUUUUAGUAGCUUAUAUGCUCUGGGAAGGUUACAAUUUUGAAGACGUUUUUUAGUUUGGCUACUGUAACACUUUCGUUUGUAUUUGAUAAUUAUUGUCUAAUCAUAGACUAACUAGACUUAAAAGAUUUAUCUUCCAAAUUAUAUAUUUUUUAUCUAUAUUUAAUAAUUUAUACAUAUGCCACAAGAUUCGGUGUAACAAAAAAAAUUUUGAAAAAUUUUGGUAACUAGCAAGGUCUUAAUUGCCCGGCGUCCGUUGACAGGCCCAGGCCCAACACAUUGAGGACUGUACAAUCGAUCGUCCGGCCUCAAGUAGAUCUCACACAAUUCGUAAAUCUGUCUCUGAAAAUUUGCCACUCUUAGCAUUGCAGAUGCACGGUGAACGCGUCGUAAUAAAGUUGUAACACGAAAGAUCACACGUGCCAGGUACAGUACCACCACGCGUCAUACAUCAAUAUAUAUUUGGCACGGCGCUACGCAGAAGGGAUCUUCUUCUUCUUCUUCUUUUUGCAGAGAUAUAUGGUUCCCCAUUAUUCCCCAAGGUCAAAUUGUGAAAUCUUGACCAUACAUAUCGUGACCCAAUUCAUUCCAUUUGUUAAGCGAGCCAUUUAUAUGCAUGCCAAGGGAGACGAGGGUCGCUUUAGCUACCAACCUCAAAUAAAGCCUGUAUUAUUGCAGUACGCUGAGCAAGCAACACAUGCAAAUUUCCAAACAAUAACCCCGAAACUAGAAAAAAAGAGUGUUUUUUUUUCCGAGUGGGGGAUGGCCCGGGUGGUGGAGUUUAUUUAUUUAUUUAUAGAAUUCUAGUGAGCAAAGUUUAUGUUACAAGACAACAACCUCCACCUUCAGUCGUGGCAUUUGAAAAUCUUCUGCUGCGCCCUAAAAUGUAAGUCUUUAGUUUUGUGUUUUAAGGUAAAUAAACUCUCUAGUUAUAACUUAAUUAGUAUUGGAGAAACAUAUUAAUAUUUUUCUGCAGUACCAAAUAAUGCACUAUCAAUAGAUAUAUCAUGGCGGAUUCGGUAAAACUAGUUUCAUGUUUUGGAUGUUGAUUAAUUUUUCAGUAACCUUUAGCAGAAGUGUUAGAGAAGGUUAACAAGGAACAAAACUUAAACGGCUCACAUUUUGCAACACACUACUACACAGGAAAUAGUUUUUCCAAUACCGAACCCUUUUACAUCUGCUUUUACAUACUACUACUGUUACUGCUGCUGCUACUACUUACACAUGGUAGUCCUAGCUAGCUAGAAUCCAAGCACAUUAUAGGGAACUCCAUUGUUAACUACUCUCCUACCUUGCUCAUAUAUACUAUACUAUGCUAUGCUAUGCUAUAGAAUUACCAAGAAGUACUACGGCACAACAUCAUGCCUACGUAUACCCAAGGGGGGCUAGUGGCGUGACCUAGGCACUUGCACGUUGCGUUAAGCAAGGCUCAUAUCCUGAUUGUCCCCCCUACACGGUGGUUAAGAGACCAGAGAGGCCCCCUAAUCACCAAACAUGAGAGGGGCAUAUCCGUUGGGAACCCCAAUUAGAUCGAGAUACACACCCAUCACCACCCAUGCAUUACAUCAUGGCACAGACACAACCAGCCAAAUUGCACUAUGCUAAUGACAUCACACGGCAGGGGGAGCACGAGCACAGCUAGCUCAACACACAUAUGUAUACACACAGAGAUUACUUUUGUUGGCAAGUGCAUGUGAGAGACAAAUUAUUUUGUUCCAUCCCAAUAAUAUUGUCAAGUGGAGGCAUGCAGCUGCUAUGUACAAUGUACAUCUCUCUUCCUUGGCUCCCCCUCACAAAUUAAGUUAAUAAUCAUAUGAGUGGAACCACAGAAAAAAAAAGAAAAGGAAAAAAACUAAUAAUAUCAUAAUAAACAAAAGAGAGAGAGAGUAAUUGAGAUGGGUGAAUUGGAGUUGCAGGAGAAAAGGGUGGAGUGGAGUGGAUGGGUGGAUCUUGCAUUCACCAGAUCCAAUGCAGGUAGCCAUCCCUGUCCUCCUCAUAAUUAGUGCCUCACCUACCAAUCAUACUGCACCACCUCACGCUCACUGACACCUCCUCUCUCUCUCUCUCUCUCUCUCUCUCUCUCUCCCUCUCCAUUUCAUUGCUUCCAAGAAACAAAUUAAAAAGCUUGGAUCCAUGGUGGACCGGGCCGCCGGCCGUACGACGGGGCUCAUCUCAUCAGCUAGCUUCAGGUACUGUAGGUAGGUAUAAACUAGUUACUGACCUUGCUCUGCCUCCCAGUCGGCCGCCGGCCCGGCCGUGUCCGUGUGGGUGUGUGCGGUGCCUUCACUAGCUUGCUUGGUUGCUUGGAGCGGGAGCGGUUUCAGAAGGAGAAGGGGGAGGAGGCGAGCUCGCCGACGGCGUCGCCGGCGCCGGCGCUGGAGGGGUCGGGGAGGAGGAGGGCGCGGCAGAGCGGGCAGGUGGCCUGGCCCUUGUCGACCCACUUGUCGAUGCAGGCCUUGUGGAAGGCGUGCGCGCAGUUGCCGAGCUCCCGGACGCGGUGCCGCGCCUCGAGCGCGCCCAGGCACACCGCGCACACGGCCGGGACCGGGGCCGGCGGCGACGCGGAUGCGCGGCGGGACCUGAGGAGGUCGGCGUACCGGACGGCGGGGAGCCGGGCCUUGAUGGCGGCCGGCGUGGGCGCCUCCUGCAGGGGCGCCGCCCCCGCCUGCAGCAGCAGCAGGGACGACGACGACGGCUGCAGCGCCCAGAGGUCGGCCGGCGCCGGCGGGGCCGCGUAGUAGGCCGGGUGGUCGUCGGCGGCCGGCGACGCCGCGAGGCCCAGCGAGGACAGGCACAGCAGCACGGCGUGCCGGAGGAAGUCCAGCAGCUGCAGCACCAGGAUCAGCGGCUGCGGCAGGAUCACGCAGUAGCACACCGACGGGAACCCCAUGGCCGGCAGCCGGGCGACGUGCGUGCGACCGUGCGUGGUGCAGCUGCCUGCCGCCUAGCUGCUUUUCCUUUCUUCUUUCUUUUUUCCUAGACCAGUAGAAGAGAGAGAGAGAGAGAGAAAUGGUAGAAUGAGCUAGAGAGAGAGAGAGAGAGAGGAGAGAUAAUGGGGGAGGAGGAGGAGGAAGAAGAGGGAGGGUGGUGUGGGGUCUAUAUAUAAGAGAGAAGGACUCAACAAGGGUUUGUUUUGGGUGCACCUAUGUUUAGAGGAGGGGAGGGCCCUACCUAAUAAGAGCAACGCUAUGCGCACAAACAAGACGUGUCACAUGCCCAUCGAGCAAGCGAUAGCGGACCAGCGACGUGCAUGGUUGAGAAAAAACUCACAGGCUUUUUUUUUUGUCUCGCCGUGACAGCAAGCGUUGCACCCUAAUGUAAGCAACUCCAAUCAUCGAUUGCGCUAUGUGAGUGUCCCACGCUUACUUGAUGCGUGGGAGCAGAUCAUGGGCCAUGUUAUCAUAUCAUAUCAUCUCGACUCGUAAAUCUGUCAUGUUUUGCUGGCUCCCGAGACAACGAAUGUAUGGUUGGGAAAUGAAAAUCUGUAAGCUCUUGUCUGGCCGUGAUAGUGAGCGUCAAUUACUAUGACGACAAAUUCCAAUCAUAUACUGCACUAUGUAACAACAACUAUGUGAGAGCACGCGUGUCUCAUGCUUACUUGAUGCAUGAGGACAGAGCAUGUGCCAUCCAGAUAUCACCUCGACUCAUAAAUCCGUCAUGCUCUGUUGAUUCCUGAGACAAUGGGACCACAUUGUGCGGGGGGUUGAGAAAUGAAAUCUGUAGGCUUUUGUCUUGUCAUGACAGCGAGCGUUAACUAAUCACUAGGACGGUAAAAUUCAAUCGUCAUACACAUUUCUGCAGGAUUAGCGAUAUAAGGUUAACGUGACUCCGCUAUAUACUAGAUUUUAUCAUCGUCGCCAUCAUCUUAACUCAAAACCGAUCAUUUUCGUUUGACGGUUAGGCUCACAAAAAGAUCUAUGACUACAAGAUAGUCAGGUUUGUUCACACCACCGAUUCGACCACUUGUGAUUCUCUCUCUCUGUCAUAUAUAUAUAUAUACACACACACACAACGAACUAAUAAAACAGUAUGCACCUGCAAAUAUGUUUUCGUUUCUGGAGGAAUAAUCUUGUGAUUUAAGAGCAAGGCCAGAAGAUACAUUUCUCCAUGGUGGGAACGCAAGGGUCCAGGUAGGAAGACUUUCUGGAGGAGGAAUAAUCUUGUUGUUUGGUGUACGCGUAGCAUUUGCGCGCUGUUUAUAUUGGUUGCACGUACACGCACACAUGUGUUGUCGUGGGACUGGGCUUGACUACUGCUGCCAACACACACACACACACACACUGGUACUCCGGACGGACACGGACUCCGUCCCCCUGCUGCUGCUUUUAAUUAGCUGGUGGUGAGCGCCGGUCUGGUUGGCAGUUUGGCACUGCCUGUGCCUGCCCUCCAGUCCUCCACCCACCGUCGUCGUCCAUGUGUGUGCUCGCCUUGGUGGGCAGCUCGGCGGCGGCGGCGGCGCCGGCGUGGUCGUCGCCGUCCGUGCUCCUCCUCGAUCCGUUCGAUGAUGAUGCGUGGGCGUGGCAAGAGAAUCUCUUGUCCUUUCGUCACGCACUGCACGCACGGUGUUGGGUUUGGUUGGGUGGGUGUGGGGAGGAGCAGGAGCAAGGCCUAGUUCUCAAAAAAAUUUUGUAAAAUUUUUCACAUUCUUCAUUAUAUCGAAUAUUGCGGUAUAUGCAUGGAACACUAAAUAUAGAUAAAAGAAAUAACUAAUUACAUAGUUUACCUGUAAUUUACGAGAUAAAUUUUUUAAACCUAGUUAAUCUAUGAUUAGAUAAUAUUUGUCAAAUAUAAAUAAAAUUGUUACUAUUUCUAUCUUGCAAAAGUUUUCGAAAGUAAACAAGACCCAAGGAUGGGUGAUGGGCGCAUGCGUGAGAUGGGUGGGCAAGCCAUGUGUGCGGUAGGGCUCACGCUCAUGCGUGCAUGCUCACAGACAUCAGGAAAAGGAACGAAAGGGCACAUGUGCACGUACGAGACGCGGGGGCCGGGGGCGUGCUGCAGACAUUGGUGGGUGGUGGCCAUGGUGGAGGAGGAGGAGGAGAAAAAAGAGACGAGAUGUGGUAGUACCAUUUUGAGUCUCCAAAGGGGCAAUGUUCUUGUCCGUUUCAGAAUUACUACUACUACUACUAUAGUCUUUGAUUGCCACUAGCUAGUUCAAAAUUGUCCAACCAUUUCCACGCAUAUACUACCAUUUUUAUUAACGCCUAAUAACAACGUAACAUAAGACCAAUACAGGCAAAUUUUACAGGAGUUGAUCAACCUACUUGUAUGACUAAAUAUAUACAGGCGACAUAUAUACUCUUAUCUGGAUCAUGCGGUUCGGAUCUUAAUUACUCCAUUCCAGAGUAAAAGUUGCUUUUUAAGACAUAACGUACAUCUAAGUAAAUAUAUUAAAAUUAUGUAUCUAGAAAAAACAAAAUAUCUUAUAGUUUAAAAUAGAGGGAGUAUCUCUGAGAGUAGAAAAAACAAUUUACUUACUUCUUUUAUAUAAGCUACCUUCAAGGGACGUACUAGAGCAACUCCAAAGUCUGUUUAUAUCAUUUCUUAUAGAUAGAUCUUUAUAAAGAUCUUGGUGUAAAAUAAAAAAAAAAUCCUCCAACAACUUUUUAAACAUAUCUUCAGAUAUAGCUCAUCCUCUAUUCUAAGUGGGUUUGGCUCUCUAGAGUGCAUACAAGACAGGAUACAGAAAAGUUGUUAGAGGGUGGAAAGAUAAGGAGAAUGAUUUUUAUUCAAAUGGCUUGCUUUUUUUCUCGAAUACCAAAUGGCUUGCUAAAUGACAAUUUAGACAGAAGUAAUUCUAAGAAAGACUAGUGGAUAUGCUCACAUGUGCGUGGUUCUAGACGUUGUUGCAUUGUCGCUAUGAUCAUCUACUGCUAGGUAAAACAAGUGUUUAGAUGCCAUAGCUUUAGACAUCUUCGCAAGACCGAGGCCUUGUUUAGUUUACCCCAUAAUUUAAAAAACUUUUCAAGUUUCCGCAUCACAUCGAAUCUUGCGGCACAUUAUGGAGCAUUAAAUAUAGAUAAAAAAUAACUAAUUGUAUAAGUUGUCUAUAAUUUAUGAGACGGAUAUUUUGAACCUAGCUAGUCUAUGGUUGGACAAUAAUUGUCAAAUACAAAUGUUGCCUGAAUGGAAAUGUAAUAAGUUAACUUUGCUAAUGAUUAUUUGCCCCUUGUUCUCGCUGUCAACUCAGAUGGUAAGGAGAUGAAGCGCUCAGGCCACUCACUCGGGUUAAUUACUAAUUAGAGUCCAGGUACUUCACCGAGACUGUAUUCGUUCGUUCCUGGAGGGAAUGAAGCGAGGUGGUGUGCAUGAGCGCGCAUAUAAUAAGUGAGCAUGUGUAGUCCCUCGGCAGAGGCGCGUUCCAAACUUCGAGUAUCCCAUACCUAGCUGAUCAGGGUUUUCUAUUGUACUAAAUCCUACCUUCGGAAUAUAUAGAGGCGUAUGUAGGAGGACUAAAACACGGAUACCAUGGGUUUAAUUUCCCCUCUUUUUUUUUCCCCUAAAAAUUAAAGGAUGUAUUGCACCAUAUAUACAACUCGCAGAGACAAUGAUGGAACCACGCAUGGAAGUCUUGUGUGUGUCACACGAAACUUUCGUGCCAGUGGCAGUGCCACCACCUUGGGGUUCAGCGGCCGGCGGUUCAGUGCCUGUUGCAGAGCAGUGCCUCCACUGUCCACACUUACGUCAGUCUUAAUGAAAUUUCAUGAGAAGUUUCAUGUACGACAUUUAAGAAGAUGCCACAUUAGCAAAUUACAUGAAACAAAGAGGAGAGAGAAGGAAUUUGUUUCAUAGCCACAAAACGAGUGAGGCGGCGUUUCCAACAUCACGAAACGAGGAUGAAACCCACGUUAUUGAGGAGGUCAGUCGUUUCAUUGGAGCCGCUCGGCUUCAUGUGGAAAGAGAUGGAUGAGAGAAAAGAUAGGCAGAUAGGGAUGAGAAAAAAAAUAGUAAAGUAAGCUAUGAAAUCGUGCAAUAAAAUUUUAUACUGUGAAAGAAUCUCGUUUUAUAUCAAUGUUUCGUGUGUUGAAAACUAGGAGGUGAAAGAGUGACCUUAAUUACCGACGAUGUCAUCAACGAGCAGGUGCUGCACCCAGAUAAUUAGACUCGACGUGGAUAGAUGGAACAGGAAAAUUAAGGCGAGUUUAAAAGUAAAAGAAAGAUUAACGAGCGAGGCAGCUCAACUGAUUUUCCUUCAGUUGUAUUAAAUCAAUUUUUUAUAAGUUUGAUCAAUUUUUUGAAAAAGAAGACAAAACUUAUAAAACUAAACUAGUAUAUAUGAUAUAUAUAUAUUUUAUUAAUAUAUGUUUACUUGGUGUUGUAAACAUCUGUCUUUUUUUAACUAGUCAUAGAUUAGUUGGUUAGGUUUCUUGUGGUGGAACCUGCCCAUUCAAGUUUAAAUUCUUGACUUGGCACAAAUGCUCAUAUUUUUCUGGAUUUAUUUCAGGAUUUAACGAUACUAUACGUACUUUCAAUGGUAGGCGACGUCUCAGCCGAUAGUGAGGCACCAGUGGUGAUUUCGUGAAUCUCAAAAUAUAUCGACUCGGUUCUUUGGAGGUGCUCAAUAGGGAUAGGAAUUUGUGUUUGUGUGUUUAUGAAGGUGAAUAUGCAUAUGUAUUAUAGGUGUAUACUGUGUAGUUAGAAAAAAACAUCUGUCUUUUUUCUAUAAACUUAUUUAAACAUGAAAAAAAUUAACUUGAGACAUCUAUAGAAACUAAUUAUUCGAGGCCGAGAGAGUACAUGAAUACUAGUGUGGUAGCAGGGGUCGGUGGGGACUGUGGAGAGGGCUCGUCAUUGUCCAACCACCCUCGAUCGUGUGCUGAAUUGGAAUCGGUUCCAAGAUGAUACGAUGAACAACCACCUGCCGGAGUUGUAAAAUUCUCUCGCCCUUAAACAAAUUCAUCGCUCCUACCCCCUCCAAAAGAAAAAAAAAACCAUCGCUCCUACCCCUGCGGCCCUCGAUCACCAACAAGUGACCAUCAAGUGAAGGUACACACAUGACAUGAAACAUGCAUGCAUGUAUACAGUAUAGUACAGUAGAUCCUGUCACGCGAUCCAUCCUAUCAUCGACGAAAGCACGGCAAGAGAUUAGGCCUUGUUCACGUCAGAAAUUUUUUUUUCAGUCUCGGAUACUAUAGCAACUUUGUUUGUAUUUAAUAAUUAUUAUCUAAUCAUAAACUAAUUAGGUUUAAAAAAUUCAUCUUGCGAUUUAUAAGUGAACUAUGUAAUUAAUUUUUGUUUUGUCUAUUUUUAAUAUUUUAUGCGUAAGAUUUGAUAUGACGAAAAAUUUUAAUUUUUUUAUUUUUAUUUUGGAGUGAACUAAACGUGGCGUAGAUGACACGUCGAUGCAAACGAAUGAAUGACGGUCUCGGACAGGGCACGGGCAGGCAUGGCGUGCGCACGUAUGGGCGCGUACCAACGCAUCACGUACCGGCGGGCAGGGCGGCCGGGUCGUUAGACCAACAGUUUUGUUGGUGCCGGCCGGCUGGGAGUACGCCCAGCUGCACUGCACAGCACGGUGGCCCGUGGCAGUUGCAGUGUGUGUGUGGGUGUGUGUUUUGUAGCAGUACGUGUCUUUCCGUGUUACAUAUUGAGUCCGGGCAGGGCUGGGUCGUUAGACCAACAGUUAUUCUUGGUGCCGGCCGGCUGAUUCUUCGCUUCCGCGCGCCUGUAUGGGCAUUGCCUACAAACUAAAAACUUUUUAAAAUUUUUUAUUACAUCAAAUCUUAAGUACAUGCAUAAAGUAUUUUAAAUUUAAAUAAUUAGACAAUGUUUAUCUCUACUACACCUAAUAAAAAGAUAAAAGUGGAGACGUCAACAAUCUUCAACGUGCCGCCGCUGACUCCCCAUGCCUCCCCACCCAACUCCCUCAGCCAGUCAGCCUCUUGAGAAAAAACAGAGACUUCUGUUGCGGUCUACUCCCGACAGCUCCUUCACCGCCCACCCCUCCCCAGCCAGCUAGCGGCGAGCCAUCUCCCCCAAUAAGACGCUGCCCUUGGCUAUGAUGCUUCUAGGCCAGCGCGCACAGUGACCUUAGGCGGCAAUGCCCCCUCCCCUUCCUCCCUGAUGACUGUGGUGGCCAUGACAGCAGUAUGACCGACCCAUGGCCAUGGCGGCUCCUGGUGGCGGCGCUGCCAACCCAUGGGCAUGGCGCCCCUGGGCGGCUAGCGCGCUCGAUCGACAGGCACAGUGGCCCCUGGCGUUGCAUGGCUUCCUCUCCCCGAGUGACUGAACAACGCCUCGGGCAUGUCCAUCCCUAGACUUCCCACGUCAUCAAUCCUAGGUAAGAAAAUCUAGAUAUGGUAUUUUGCAAAAAAUCCAAAAACCCAAAAGCUUGAGCAGUUCACCAAAAUUCUAACACUAAUUUUUUUUUUUAGUUUUGGUGUUUACUUCCUAAAAAAUAUUGUAAUAUUUUUUAGAUUCUCUGUUACAUUGAAUCUUGCGGUACAUGUAUAGAGCAUUAAAUAUAGAUAAAAAAUAACUAAUUACACAAUUUAUAUGUAAUUUGCGAGACAAAUCUUUUGAGCCUAAUCAUUUCGGUGGAUUUCGACAAGGUGCAUUUAACAUUUCAUUUCCACUUAUACCAGUGAUGCAAAUCAAUACAUCAUGUGUUUCUUUAACUUCAUUAUUGGUGUUAAUAUUGUUUCAAAAACCCUUUUUAUGGGAGCAACAAAUUAGAUUAAUAUAUUUUUGUCAUCCGUAGCAACGCACGGGCAUUGGCUAGUUAAAUAAAAAUGAAAGUACUACGAUGUUAAAACUCAAAAACUUUUUAAAUCUGAAUUGACGGCGCGCGUCUCAUGCAGUUGCAGUUGUGUUUUGUGGCAGUACGUGUCUUUCCAUGUUACCACUAUUGAGAUAAACUUGUUGCAUGCCACCCAUCAAAACAUAGUUUGGUUUGCGCUAGCAGGUAUGUCCUCCUUAUAUCACACUCGACAUGAUGCAUGCUAUGUUUUAUUGCUAGAUAUAUAGGUAUAAAGACGUGUGAAGUGGAGAAAAAAAAGAGGAACUAGACAAAUAUGUUCGUGGUAGUUUAACUUUCACUAGUAGUUUUGUUGAUAGACGGAGGCAGAGACUACAAACGAAAAUAACAAUACACACGCGCACCCCAUUAAUUUCCCUGUCGAUGCAAAGGAAAGCCGGUUAUUCCUUCGCCACGUCCAAACAAUUAAGUCCGUGGGUGGCUACUGCCUACGCCUAUAUAUUUAUGCUCUUGCGUGUCAUGUCUAUUUUUGACAUGCUUUUAUAGGACAACCUAUAAUAGAGGUGCUUAGUAUAUAAAGCGUGUGCUAGCUAGUACAAUAUAUACAACUAGAAGAAGAUGAUUAUAUUAUAUAUAAAAGUUUGAUUGAAGCACCUAAUUGUAUCAUCGUGGUGAUUAACUAUCGUGAGUGCGCUUAAUGACGCAACAAUACUCUUCCUUUUAGUAACUUUUGUUACGUGUUAUUAGGCAUCGUGCAUUCGUACUUGCCCUAAUCAAAUAGCCCCGUUCGACCUUUAGACGCACGACACAAGGAAAUUAAGAAGAUAUGCAUCAAGAGACACCCGACAGAGAUGCCCGUAGCAUAGCAGUCUAUCUAUCUGCCAUUCAUCUUUCCCUUUUUUUGUUUCCCCCCUUUACAAAGCAAAUAGUUUGCUUUAGUUGCUUAUCAUGGAAAACAACACGGGCCAGAGAGCUUUUUAUUUGUACGAGCGAGCGAGCACACGGUGGUGCAGUGCACGGCACGCAGAGCCCAGCCCUGCAGUUUACGCGACGGCGAGAGGCUUUAAUUUUGCCGUGCAAAAGCAGAGCACACAACACAAAAAAGCACGUCGAUGGGCAUCGGGACGGCUCAUCCAUCGCCCAUCAGCGUCAGCGCAUCAAUUAGCGGCGAAAAAACCACCACCACCACACAUUAGCCGAACUGGUAGCGCACGAGAAAAAAAAUAAUAAUUAAUCAUCAUUAUGGUUUUGGAGACGAACUGAUAUAAUGCCAAUGGUGCGCGGGGCCCACCUCUGCACCCGGCAAACCGUCAUGGGCCGGGCCCACAGCAAAGGGCUACUACUACAGCCAUCGCUCUCAUCAGGCCCAUCGAACCAUGCGUGUGUGUAGUAGCCGGACUGAAUUCCCUAUCGUUUUCAAGGAGAGAUAUUCAUGCUGCUAAUUUCCUUAUUUGUGAUAUAUAUAUAUAUAUAUGAUCCAUUUCUAGAGUUGUCCUAAGUCAAACUAUUUAAACUUUGACCAGAUUGAUGGUAGCAAAUUAGUAUCAUUAGAUUCAUUAUAGAAUAUAUUUUUAUAGGAUGCGCAUUUUAUGUCAUAGAUAUUGAUUACUCUUUUGCAUAAAGUUUGUCAAGUUUGAUUAACACAGAUUAUAGGAAUUGAUUCUUUCGUAGACGGAGCAGUAUACACAUUUCUCUUCGCUGAUUAAAGAUGAUGAUGAAGGAGAUGAAAUUUGCAGGCAAACGAUGAUGGAGUCGCUGUACCCAAAAGUGGGACAGCAGCAGGAUUAUGUCUAUGGAGGGCAACAAAGCUACCCGGUUGCAGAGACGUAAAGCGUGCACGCAUGGUCCCGGGCGGCGAAUAUUUAGGUGGCCUAGCACAUUCAUCCUAGCUAAUACCUACUCCUGCAUGCCAUAAACAUGGAGAGCAACGAACGAAACUGGUGCCAACCGCCAAUAACAAUUAAUACCACUCAGAUCCAUGGAAAUUCUCUAUCAGGCUAAUCAGAUCUUCGUAAACUAUAAAUUGCGUGCUUGCGAUUAGUUAGGUUUUUAAUGUGGGCACUAAUUAAUUUGCACGUUGUUGCCAUUGUUUUUGUUGUCGGACUAGCUUUGCUUUUGCUUUUGCUUGUGGUAGCUCCUCCUUUGAAUAGGCCCAGCUUGUGUUGAUUGUGAGAUUUUGGGUGUCUACAACAUUAUGUAUAGGUAUUAGCUCUACGCUGAAAAAUUUAGAAGAGAGACCACAACCACAGCAAAGCAUACUUGAACAUCAUGCCACGAAAGAGGGAUGCAUCGUGAAAUAUACAAGAGUGGACUCUUGAGUCCACGAUAAUCUUUUUUUUGCACUAUAUUUAGUGAUUAAAAAAAUUAAUUUAGCUAGUUGUAAGGUGUAUCAGAGCAAAGCUAAUAAUAUAGCCAGUUGUUGGCUGUAAGGUUUUUUUGCAGCUUUCUCUUAGCCCAUCCAUAGAGUAGUUAGCUCUUCAGGCCCACUUAUCUCUCGCAUAAAGUUUCUUGAUUCUUUGCUUAAACUGGUUAUAAACUCACAACCUGCUUCACCUCUCUAUCAUCUCCUCUCUCCUCCACCUUAACAUUUAACCAGUUUAUAGCCUGUUAUUAUCAUGCUUGCUCUCAUUGGAGUUGCCCUUACAAUUAGGGCUCUUGACCAGCUCGUUUUCAAGGCUUCUCCUGCGCAGGCGUUUGGCACAAAUUCUAUAGGAGCCGGAGCUGAAGCCCCUGCAGGAGGUCUGCCAAAGAGGCUCUUAAUCUCUAGCCAAAACAAACAGCCGGCUUCAUUAAAAAAAACAACAACAAAAAAAAAACAGCCGGCUCCUGACUCUAGAUGGCAUGAUCCAAUAAAGCACUCAAAUCUAGAUUGAUUACUGUAUCGAGUUACAUAUUUACCCACUAUUAGUAUAUUAUUGUGCGCUUGCGCCCCCACAUGUAAGCGAGAAGGAUAUAUAUUAGUUUUUGUUUUGGUAGAAUUAAUGUACUUAGCUAGGUUGCCAUGCAACAGCGACAAGUUAAUUUUUUUAACCCUAGCUUUCCUCAAUCUAGGUGCUAUUCAGCAAAGAAUUCUCGAUCUUACUCCAUUACAGGGCUUCUUUUUCUUUCUACGUCACCGUACCCGGGUCGGGCAUGUUAUCCAUCCAUGGAUGGCGCCGCAAUGAUGCUGCCGUCCGGCUGCCGGGCGCCGGGGAGAGAUGGUGCCAAAACGCCCGGGAUUAUGUGUAUAAUCCAUCUAUAUAUCGGCAGUGGCGAGUCUGUGCUGCGGCUGUCGGAUAUAUACAUACAUAUAGUUAAAGUAAACAAACAAAUCGAGGAGAUCAGGGGAUGGAUCUGCAACUGUUUAUAUAUAUGUAUAAAAAGCUGCCAGACGAGCGAUCGAGGGAAUCGCUUGGUCCGGCAAUCGAGUCUAGCGUGUGAAUGCAUGCAUGCACACAGCAAGCAAUAGACUGAAAUCAUCAAUAAUGGAUGGCCAUGGAAGUUAUCAGCAUUAUAAUAUGUUCCAAGGCAAGUUUUGUCAAAAGUACACAGAGGUUAUUCUAAUCGCGAAAAGCAAAUGAAGUUAUAUAUUCUGCCAAAUAGGUUAGUUAUUGUCAAGUGUCAAUCGUGUACCAGAAAAGAAAAUGGUCGGUGGAAGAUGAAUGUCUAGCAUGGGAGAAGAAUCUUUCUUUAAAUAAACAUACUACUAGUUAAUUAAGUCGAAGAGGCUAGUCAACAGUCAACUCUUUCUUUCAGAAUUCCUCAUAGGCCUUGUUUAGUUAUCAAAAUUUUUUGUUUUGGAAUACUAUAGCAUUUUUUUUGGCAAUUAUUAUCUAAUCAUAGACUAACUAGGUUCAAAAGAUUUAUCUCAUAAUUUACAGACAAACUGUGUAAUUAGUUUUUGUUUUUCAUCUAUAUUUAAUGCUCCAUGUAUAUACUGUAAGAUUUGAUGUGACGGAAAAUCUUGAAGAAUUUUGGCUAUCUAAACGAGGCCUAAAUUGUAUCCGCGCACGCGAUGGGAGAGCAAUAAGUGACAAGGAGUAAAUAAACACAGAAAAUAUGCAUAUCUCGAUUAACCUCUCGAAGACUCUAACCAAACUACGGCACAACUAUACUAUACAAUUGAGGCACACGUGCAUGCAUAGAGAGAAUCUUUACCGUGCGUCCGUGCAUGCCAUCAUAUCGUGACAAAUGACAAGGAGCCAUGUCCCAUCUAUUUAAUAAGAGCAUAUAUACACUAUACAGAUGCAGUCUAUAUGGUGAUCUUCUGUUAUUAAUAAGAGCAACUCUAAGAAAUUCUUUAUAUUAUUUCUAAUAUGUAGAAAUAGAAUUUUGAUAAAAAAAACUAUCCCUGAACCUUUUUUAUUUUUGGCUAGUGAGAAAAUCUAAAAUCAAGGUUGUAUAUUUGUAGAUCCAAUUAAAGAGGCCGCUCGAGCAUAUUUUUUUUUUACCAAAAUUGUUGUUUUUAUAAAUUAAGAAGGAUAUAAAUAGUAUAUUGAAAUUGCUCUGAUUCUCUGGAGUGCGUACAACGUAUAGAAUAAAUAUUGGCGGGUGAAAGCACGUAGAGAGCGAUUUUUAUUCAAGUGACUCCAAAUAGUUAUUUAUCAUGUAAAUUUUAGAAAGGCUCUUGGAGAUGCUUCAAUGUAGUAGCUUUUUCUUCUCUUCUUCCAACAAAUUACCAACAUCUCUAAAGUGGAUAGGGGAGUGGAUCUCCUACAUUUGAGGGAGGGGGGAUGGAUUUUGUGGAGUUACCUAAAACUUUUAGAUAUGGGAGGUUAGGAUGAGUAAUCUGUUGGAGCAACCACAUCCCUUAUACUAUAUAUUUUUAGUAUUGAGAACUAAUGGAUAAGAACCUAUUGUAGGUGUGCUAACUACUCUCUACUCUUCCAGAAAAAUUGUAGUUAUUAUAGCUAAAGUGCUAAACCAAACCAUCUUCAAUUUGACCAAUUUUUUACAAAGAUAAAAAAGACGAGCUGCGGGGGGAUGACGUCCCGACCGGUUUUCAUAUACAGCGGCACCUGCAUCCUCGUGAGAUGGGACGGGCAUAGACCUGUACUUUGGAGUGGGACAGACGAGGGGAUUUUUUAUUACCCUUAGGCCUGAAAAAUUCGCCCCCCAAGGGGGAUCGAACUCAGGACCUGGAGGUGCCGCCGGAAUCCUCUAAUCAGUUUGGCUAUAGGUCCUUUUUUUCUUAAGGAAUUACACAGGACAACGCAGACACUCACAACACAUGUACACACUCACCCUCUAUGAAUACACAUACGCAAAGCCUACUCUUAUGAGUACCUCCGAAAAGCAAAGCCGCCAGAUUACGAGAUUCACGAAGUUAUUAUCGAUGUCUCGCUGUCGACACGCUGAAAAGAUAUGAUACCAUUUUUUUUAGAUAAAUGUAGUCAAUACUUUAUUUUUUUGAAGGACGACUGAGGCUGAGGGAGCAGUUCCUUGAUCAUGCAUCCUAGCGUGCCACCACGCACACCUUUUUGUUGACGAGCCGGUACUACUAUUUUGUUGCUACUCGAUGACCCUAGCUACAAUUUUUUUUCAUUUUUUUUGCAAAGAAAGAAAGAAAGAAAAGCAGCGUGCAUCGUGCGUGCAUGUGCAUCAUAUAUGCCUGGGGUCUGUGUGGCUGUGCUGAGGUGGACUGGACGGCCGGGACGGGAACCCACAGCCACGGUUGGCGGCAGCCGGCAGGUACGUGCCGGGUCGUCAUGUCAGUGUACACGAUGUGGUGCCACCUAGGCACGACUAGGGGUGGGUGCUGUCAGGCUGUGGUGGUGAUUGGCCGGUCAAGUCGUGAAUCGAACCACCCCGCAUGGUUCACUAGUCAGUUUUAGGCUAGUCUCAAUGCAUAGUUUCAUGAUAUAGUUAACAAAACUAUAAACUAGGUAACCGAGCCAUAAGGACACUCACAAUGCAGACUUUAUCAUAGAGUCUAAAGUUAUUUAUUACCUCGAACAAUGUGGAUUUAGAGUCUAAAUAAGACUUGGAGUCUUAUUUUUUAUACCUUUUUUUUUCAUAAUUGUCUUGGACUCUGUGAUAGAGUCUUGCAUUGUGAGUGCCCUAAGAGUUUCAUAGGGAUGAAACUCCUCUCUCAUAUGAUGAAACUCCUUCAUUUAAUGACUCCGCCAAAUCAGCAAUUUUGCUUAUUAUGUGGCAUCCUAUUUAAUGUGCAUGACACUUCAAUGAAACAUGCAUUGAGACUGGCCUUAGAUUAGCAUCCGUACGUGCCGCGUGUCCACAAUUCCAUCAGGGCCUUGUUUAGUUCCAAAAAGAUUUUACAAAAUUUUUUUUCAAAUUUUUCGUCACAUUAAAUCUUGCGGCACAUACAUAAAACGUUAAAUAUAUAUAUAUAUAUAUAUAAAUAAUUAAUUAUAUAGUUUAUUUGUAAUUUGCGAGAUAAAUAUUAUUAAACUUAGUUAGUCAAUAAUUAAAUAAUAUUUGUCAAAUAUAAACGAAAUUACGUAUCGAUUUUGCAUUAAAAAAAAGGGGAGGGGGGGGAAUUCGCCGCCGCCGCCGUUCGUCGUGUGGGAGGUCCAUCGUGAGCGCUGCUGCUGUCUAGUACGUAGCUAGCUAGGCUGUCAGCACAGUGACGAUAUAUUCUGUGAGAUGCACGUACGGACCCAUGGCAGGUGCAUGCCGGCGCGGCUGUCUGUCUGUCUGUCUAUGCAUGGCCGUGUUAUAGUUGUUGAUCGGUCAUUGCAUGCAUGCUUAUUAGGUACUGACGCGUAAUUGACGAUACGAGACGAGACGAGCAAUGCUGAGCUGAUGAGAACGUGUACUCCGUAUAGGCGGUAGCAGCAGCGGUGAGCAAGCAGCAGCUUUGGAGUGAGUGAUUAUAUAUGAUUAGCUGCUGCUGGUGUGGUAGCUAGCUGUAGCGCAGAAGGCCUGCUGGUCAAGGCCCGUCGUCGGGUGCGGACAUGCAUCAAUCCAUCAGGCUAGCACGUGGGUGGGGUGGGGUGGGGUGGGGUGGCACGUGAACAGUGUCAGGCCGGCACGACGUACGGGAGUAGGACGCAUGCAUGCACGCGAUCCAUCCCACCCGACGGCAUGCAGCCCAGCUACUCCUGCCCGGCCGGCCGUUACUGCCUACAGACCUAUACAGUAGUAGACUGCUCGUGCUAGGCGACGACGACGGCCGGAGCGGCGAGGUCAUCGGUGCCGGCUCGCCGGCGGGUUGCAAUGCAAGCGACGAGGAGGAGGAUCGAUCGUGUCAUUCGUCAGGUGCUCACUCUUGGUCUUGGACCGAUGAUAUGGGCCACAGUGGAUUGUGCCGGACCGGAAUAUAUAUAUGUACAAACGCGAUUCGUUUGCUAACAGCGCAGCUAGCUUUUCGGCAAAACAUGCACAUUAAUAACUGCUAGUCUCUUUGCGAGACAUUCGAGAAUAAUAAUAAUAAUUGGUAACUCAACUGAUUUUAUUUUUGAGGUCCAAAAAAGAAGGGAGCAUGUUCGUUGGUUUUUUUUAAAAAAAACAAAUUUCAAUAUCUCACUGCUAAAAGUUAUACGACUGCAGGGAAUCUUGGAUUAUUUCUAAAUUUGCCCUAAUCAUUUUAUACUUCCGUUCUCUUUUAUGCAUUUGUAUGUACUGGGAACCAUGUACUGCUGCUUAAUCUCUUGGCGCCACACACAGCUAGGUAUACUUCUUCAUCCAGCUCUCAUGAUGCAAUCCUUCACUUGAGCCAGCUUCUCCCUACCCACUUCGAAGGAUUUAAAAAGUGGUAUGAUGUGGCAGGUUUCAAUAUAGAACGACGAGAUUCCCUUACACAGAUGAGAGAACUGCAUUUCAUGUUUUUCUUUUGCUAAGAUAAUAACAUUUGAUAUUUAUUUUUUCCGUUUUAUUUGAAGGAUAAAAUUGUGGAUUCUGCAAUCUUUCUGUACGAACCAUUUUGAGCAACUCCGUUGAAGUCUGAAACAAAAACUCACCCAAGCAACUCGAAUAACGUGUGGCAAAGCUCCAGGCCUCAACAUGGGGAGAUGUAAACAGCUGUCAUGGCCUAAAUAUGGAUCACUUACACAGGAUUUGAAAAUUCACUGUGGUGUGUAUUCCCAGCCCCAAUUCCAGGUUCAUAAUACCUCUAUAAUAAGAGGGAUACAAGAAAAAACGGAUGGAAUGCUGACUAGCGUGUAUAGGAGAUUGACAACAAUUAUAAGCCAAAUUCUGAAAGAUAGGUAAAUAAAAGUGCACAGGCGUUAUAUUACUAUACCACUGGUAAACUGUACAAUUCAUGAUUACAUGUAUCACAGGGCAUGAACCUGCGGACGAAAAACAGCACAGCAAUUCUUUUUUACACAUAACAUCAUUGUCAGCACUGUACCCCAUGAGACAACGGCCACAGCCACGGGCCACGCUAGCACUAGUGUUGGGGAUCCGGCACAUGGGAAGCGGCAGGGUAGAAGAGGAUCUAGGGAAGGAAUUGGAAGAAAGGGCGAAGAAGCAAGAAGAGCACGAGAUAGUUCAGAUGAGUUCUUAGCUGUAUAACAGAAUAUGGUUUACAAUUUGCAUAAGCAUUCUCCUCACGCCUCUCCCCUCUUUACGCCUCGCUCAGCACGUGCAAGCGCUCACUUGGUCCAGGUAGAGACAUCGUAGCGCGGGUUGGGCUUUCUGGACCAGUUCCCGCGUGCCGGACCCACAGCAGCUCUAUCGUGGCCAUUGUCUCAUGGGGCACAGUGCUGACAAUCAUAUAUUUUAUUCUUCACACGUUUGAGCAAAAUAAUACAGCUAUGAACAUAUCGAAUGUGGUGCUGAAAACAUUAGUCAUGUGGAUUUGGAUUGGCAAGCAUUGAUCACCAGAAAGGAUGCAAUCUGAUACCGUCCAGAAUGAAUGGAACUAGUGCAAAUAUGCCCUGCAAAAAUAACUCUGUUACAAAUUUUACAACCAAUUGAAACAUAAAUAAGAAGAAAGUAAUAUAAUUCUUGAAUGAAAGGGUGUCAAUAGCAUGACAUGCCCUAGUGCAGAUUUGGCAUAGGCUAUGAAUGUUCCACUGAAACCCACAUUUUUAUAAAAAAAAUGAAUUAAGCAUUCCUUUCACUCCAAAUUGUAAGUCGUUCUAGCAUUUCUAGAUACAUAGCUUUUACCAUGGGUGUAUUUGGUUUUGUUUCUCCAAUAAGCCUGGCUAGAAAAAUAAUCAAGGCUAGCCUAAGCCUGUCCAAGUCAAUGCAACAGGAUCACAUGUUUGGUUGUCAUAUGCUAGCUCAGGCUGUAUUUGUAAGAUCUUUUUUUGCCUAGAUUGUUGGGUGCAUUCACCUCUCCUUUGUGAUGGUGACCUUACCUCCAUCGUCUUGGUUGUCUCCCUUCAUCAUCACUCACUGGUGCUAUGAGGCUCUCUCUGUAUGCGUCCGCCAAGACAUCUGCUUGCAUCUCCGAAGCUGUCUGUCUCUGCUUCAUUUUUCUCCAUGACCUCCUAUCCUCAUCUCUGAACCCAGCCCAAGGUGCUCUCGUCUAUGAAUCCAGCAAAGGACCAAGCACCGCUAGUAAUCUCCCUCCAAAUUUCUCUUGCCUUCUAUGUUCUCCGCCUCAAAUCAGAGCACAAGUCACACAUCAUCCACCACCUAGCGAGCUUGCAAUGCACAGGGUGCACGGGCCGCGGUCGCCAACGAUGUAGAGGGCACAUCAGCACUGGCAGGUUUGACCCAACCUCUAUUGUUGUGCUGCUGGUGGAAUUACCCACACAUGGUGUGGAUCUCAUAUCCCAUGGAGCGGGCGCACCUGCAGGCAUAACCCUUCAGCGAAUGUGCCAUGAGUGUUCGCUUGAGUUUAUCUGCCGAAUCUGCCAGCCAUUCAGCAGUGUUUUUCUCUCAUAAAAAAAUCAGCGAACAGUAUUUUCAGCCAUGCCUUAACAGUAUUUUCAGCCAUGCAUUCGCUGAUUGUUUUUUUGCCUAGAUUGUUGGGCCGCCAGUGAUAGCUGCUGCAGGCAUCACAACGAGAGGGAGGUGACAGAAUCCUUCUGAGUUCUGACCAUUAGCACAAGCCAGGCUUCAUAGAAACAAGGAGCUAAAGGGUACUUCUUGCACUAGGUACUUCUUGCACUAGGUACUUCUUGCACUAGGUAAAGCCUGACAAGGAGCAUGGAACAGGUAACCAAACAAUCCUAUGGUGCUUUUGGCAAUCACUCCCUAUGUAACUACUAGAAAUAUUUAUAUCUAGGUACAUAGCAUAAGCUAUGCACCUAUAAAAGCCAGAACAGACUUACAAUUUGGAACAGAGGGGGUACAUCAUAAAACACAUGUAGCCUAAUAGUACUGCAGACUGGAGCCAAACCAAACAUUCAGCUAGGAACAUAACAGGAACACCCAAAUAUUAACAAUUCAACAUCAAGGAAGACACCAGUUAUGCUUAUGAUGACUACUAUCAAUUUUAUCCAAACCCACUAGUAACAAGAGAUAUCCAUUGAUCUUUUGUCUCCCUUGACCUAGUGCACUGGUACCUAUAGUGGCAGCUAACACCCAGCAACAGUACAGGUGGUGUAUUUUAAUUGUAGGAUGCAAGAACACAAAAUCAUAUCGAUGCAUAAGCAUUUAUCACACAUACAACAAUGACUAGAGGACAUUUCAGCAUGAAGAACAUGUAAGAACUAUCUUUUUGUUGUUUAGUUUAGCAAAUGGGGUACUUACAGCAACGGUGCAUGCAAUCAAUCCAGGCUUCUCUCUGUGGUCCAAAGCAACAAAGAAUAGAAGGAACGCGCCAGCAUACCAGGGGAUUGCCGCCAAGAAGAACCCCAAUAAGAACCUUCAAUAGAAUACAGAAGCUAAGUUUCUAUGGUGGCUAAAGGAUAAAUGUUGCACAUGAGCAGAUUGACUGCAAGAGACGAUAGACUUGCACAAAUUCUUACAGAACUAAGCUAGUGAUGCCACAAAGUAUCACACCAACUAUGCCUGGGGUUGGCAGACAGCAGUACGCCCGUAGGCGCAAGCACACCAAUGGACCAAAUGAAUUGGACGCGCGGCCGAGCACGCCAAACGCCGUGAGGGCCAAUCUGUGGGUCUUAAUUCUAGAAGAGAUUAUCUCAGUUUGUUAGCCCUUGACAAAGGUAAAGCAACAGAUGAUAUCCUUCUCAUGUAUCUCCUUCCUCUAAGACAGGGCAUAGAGGGGAAAAACUUCGCCCCGAUCCCGACCACAAGCACCACCUACGUAGUCGGGGUGCGCUGCCGCUACUCCCUGUGCCCCAACCACGCCACAUCUUAGUAUCAGGUUGGACAUGAAACCAAUCCGGACUUCCGUAUCCUCGCUUGACGCCAAGGUCGACAGUAACUCGCAGGCCAUUCAACGCCUAGAAACAAUGGUUGCCACCGCACCUAGACAGGCGAGCACCACAAAAGUAAAACAUGAUAUAACACCUCACAUCCAAAAACUGCUUAUAUGGCCCAGCUCCACACAUGGAACGGGCCUGCAUAAAUGAGCACCUCUCUUACACUUCUCUACUCACUUCAUGCGAAAUGAUUAACAGUGCUACGUUUGGAACCACAAGGAUUAUAAGCUGGUACUAGACCCACUAACUACAACUCCUCAUUUACCACAUGGGUCAACAACUCAACUACUAUAGGCUUCUAACGGGCCCAGUUUGGUCAGCAAGCAGGUUUGGGUGCUCCUGGGAGCUGUUCGACGAAAUGCUUAGAUGGGGGAUGUUGCCCAGUUUGGUCAUGCACAAUACUCUUCCUGAUGCAUGCUGGUGUCCAAGGCUCAGGAGGUGUGGGAUCAAAUGGUGGCUACUCAAAGGUCAGCAAUCUGCACAUGAUUGAAUUUUUCAAUUUUUGUACAUCCUCAGCAGCUGAUGGUUCAGAGACUGAUCAUACGAUCUGUACUUUAUAUUAUUUAAAAAUGAGAUUUGUAUUGUGUCUCCAUAUAUCAAUCAAUUAGGCUGGGUGGAGCAGCAGGUUCGUGCACAACAUCUACGCUACGGGUGAACUUGGGGCUUGCCUUCUGUGCACACUAGUUGGAUGGAAUGCUGGAUUGCCAGUGCGAGCGCCUUGCCAGCAUCGUCAUGGCCAGCAGCAUUACAACAAAGUGAUAUCGGUGGUAAUAUCUAUAUAGUCUAUGGCAUGGAUUACCGCGUACCAUUUUCUCUAUCCAAUUGAAUCCCUAAAAGAUUUCAGAUCCUUAUGAAAAAUCAUUUGUUACAGUGGUGCCUAGCAUGUAGGGAAGGAAGAGCAUGCUGAAGCUGUCUGAGAGGAUGGUGAUGAGCUUUUGCAGUGGUGUGAAACACCCAAUGACCCAAAAGCAGGGGGGAGGGAACCAUGGUGUUUCUGAUAUAACAGAGAUUUGGUAUCUCAUCCAAACGUUUAGUUUUAGCUUGCAAAGUUCUAAACAAACCUUGUGUCACCUUCUCAGUGUUUUUUUUUCAGCCAAAAUUGACGAGGAAUACUCAACGACCUCCCUACCAAUAGUGGUGUCAAUUGAAACUGUUGGCACCUCCAUCCACUAUGUGGCGAAGCACCAGCCUUGCUGCUGGGACACAAAGCACAUCCAGGCCUGCACCGCGCAGGAGCAACAUAGAGAUGACAACUCCAAAGGUGGAAUCAAGCUGGCGGACAUAUAUGGUGCAGGCCUUAGGGUCUGCAUUCACAAGGUCAUUGUCCAUGCAAGUAGUUCUUGGAUUGGGUUACCUAAUUUUUUAUCCAGUUAUGUGAUUAGGAGCAGCUAUCUCUGCUUGUGCUUGCAAGUGCGUGAUAUAAAUUUUGUUUUCCUCCACCAUUUUUUCUUCCUAAAGACUGCUUGGCUUUGGAUUGUAUAGUUCAGUACAUGUUACACAUCUAUUUUAAGCAUCAUUGCAUCUACUACUAGCCAGAAUCUAAAGACAUAACAUUUAAUUUGAUGCUAAAGAGAUCUUCAUUCAGAUUAGCACACAUUAGUCAUUGGCUGAAAUAAAUUAGCAUGCAAAUCAGUAACUAGGAGAGAGAAGAAUUGACAUCUACAUCUCACAAACUUGAACCAUCCUCUCAUACCAUAUAGUGAGGCAUAAUUCUAUCUUUUUGUUUGCAUGUAGCAGCACACAGGCGCAGACCUAUAAAGCUUGAUUCAUCAAUGAUUUAUAUGUCUUUCAAUUCUCUCUCCUGCAGAGGUUGACAAUUUCUUUAAAAUUCAAAGGGACUUGGAUAAAAGAAAGAUUAUUCGGGUGAGUAACUUUAUGUUUGUUGAAUUCAAAGGGGCAAACAUGUUUGCAUUAGAUGUUUACAUUUUAAACAUGGUUGCUCCUCAAGAAUCAAUAAGGGACUCAGAAAGGAGGAAGUUUUAAGUCUAACCAUCCUUUAGACAUAGUGAUUUGCAUCGGGUUCAAUCCUGGCACUGUCACAUACUUCUCAGAUAUUCCGUCCUGCAAGAGUGUAUCUUGAGGAAGCUCAUGAUAUUUUUUUAAUAAAAAUUAUCAUUUAAACCUUGCAGGAGGAUUUUUAGUAUUAUCUUUUGCUACUUAUAUAAAUUAUUCUCCCUGAAAGGACUCUUAACGCAUUGAUAUUUAAUUAUCUUAGCAACUGAAAGCCGUCAUGUAGGCGUUUGGAAUUUAUUUAAAGUUAAAAAAUGGAUCUAUAGGAAUUUAUUUAAUUUGCUAAUGUUGAUGCUACUUUUUUUUAUUUGCAUAAAACUGAGUUGCUGGUAUGAGGCAGAACCAGUGAUGAGGUUUGGAGCUGAGAGCAGUUGAUGCGUUUGAGCAGAAUAGGAGGUUGGAGGAAGCACUUCAGUUGUUCGACAGAAUGGUUGGGGCAGAACUGUGACGCUAUUUGGCAGCAACGGUUCUCAAAUUAUGUGAUUACCUUAGACCAAUGAUUAUCUGCACUAUCAUUGUACUGAUGAAGACUCCAUAUUUAUAUUAGUUCACAUCAAAAUUUGAAUUACAUUUUUAGUGUUUAUGCUUCGUGUCACACUUGAAGUAUGGUUUUUUUAAUACUACUACAACACACACUCAAACUCAAAUUUUCAUGUUAUUAUUUUUUAGUACUAGUUAAAAGCACAAUUCUCAACCAAUUACCAUUUGACCCUCUAGGCGACUAGGACUAUAAAGUCCAAUUCUCCUUCCCACGAAGCGAACCAAAAAAUUCUCUUAACUCCAAACUCCCGUUCCCUCGUUCCAGUUACCCCCAACCAAACGUGAAAUGCCCCGAACAAACAUGCCGCACAGUACUAGCUCGAUCCGUGUCUCCUUGGUACAUACAGUAGAGCACUCACAGAAACCAGCCGAUGCCGACGCCGCAGAACGGUAGGGGCGGCUCUCGGACGGGGACGCCCUCCGCCUCCACGACGACCUGCUGCUGGACGGCGCACGGGAAGGCGACGAAGCCCUGGCCUCCGAACCCUGAGGGCAGCCAACGAAGACACACAGAAGCAUCGAUGGAGUCAUAUCUCAAAACCAGAAGGGGGGCGAGAAUCGAGGAUAAUAAUGGCGCCGGGACAGGGAGCAACCACCGAUCAGAGAGGCAUGGUAGGCGGCGGCGGCGCCUACGACGGGCGGCGUCGACGGCUGUGGAAAGGUGCCGUAGCCGUGUUGGUAUCGGAGAGGGUUCGCGGCGGUGGGAGCCGAAAGGGAUGGGGAUGGGGAUGAGGAUUGGGACUGCGACGGGAGCUUUGUGGUGGUGGGGUGCUUCGCCUCUUGCAUCGCCUCAGUGGUGGAAGCCGCCGGGUAGGCGGCGGAGACCGGAGAUGUAGGAUCUCGAGGGGAGAGGGAGGUUUGCGCGCGGUGGAUGGAUUCGUGGAGACGACCGACGGGGAUCGCCGGGCUUGGAGGAAGAAUCUGGACGUGCUGGCCUGACCUGCUGGGUUUCAGGGAAGAAUACCAGCUCAGCUCAAUCCAAGCAGGCCUUAAUGGUACGCGUUCAGCAGCCCCAGCCUGCCCCGGCCCAUCAAGGCCUAGCUUAUCGAUUUAUUAUGAAUAAUAAGUUAGUUAUAGAUUUAUUUAGAUUUAACAAGCAUAAACCCUAAAUCAUUCUAUAACUACGUUAUACAUGAUUCAAUGAGUAUAAAUUUUUUACUAUAGUUCAAGCAUAUAAUAAUUAGCCCACAGUAAAAUUUUUACCACAAUUGGACUAUAGAAACUGCAGUUAUGAAUUAUUCUAAUUAAUUAUAGAAAAUAAUAGAUCAAAAUCUACAACAAAAACUUUAUACUAAAGUAUAUCAUAUUAUAUGUUCAUUAUGUAGAUCUACUCAUGUAUGAGUAGUGCGGGACACCCUUCUCCGUAGGCAUCUUAAGGACCAGGUAUGAGUAGUGCGGGACUGCCAUGAACUUUGUCAGCAAUGGUCGGCCCAGUAUAGCGUGAUAGGUCCCGUCGAAAUCGGCGACCACGAAGUUGAUGAACUCCGUCCGGAAGUGGUCGGGUGUGCCGAAUUGGACAGGCAAUGUUAUCUGUCCGAGAGGCAUUGAACUUUGACCCGGCAAAACCCCCCAGAAUUGGGCGUCGUAAGGUUUUAGUUGUGCAGGAGAUAUCUUGAGGGCGGGCAGGCUGUUGCGAAAGAGGAUGUCAAUGGAGCUUCCCCCGUCCACGAGCACACGCUCGAAUCUGAUGCUGUUGAUGCAAGGGUCCAGAAUCAGGGGGAAACGACCCGGCUCUGGGAUAGCGGCCCACUGGUCCUUCCUGCUGAACGAGAUCUCCCUGUGGGACCACGGGGGGAAUUUUGGGUCUGCGAUCAGCCCGUCCGUGCUGUCUAUGUUGAGGCAGGCUCUCUUUAACAGCUUUCUUUCUCGCUUAGAUUCGAUGGAGACCUUGCCCCCGAAAAUGGAGUGGACCACGUCGGUGGGGCUGACGUACUGGUGCCGGGGGUCCCUAUCUUGGUCCUCGUCCUCAUCUUCGUGGUCGUGCCCGUCUCGCUUGUUGUUUUUCUUGGCGGAGUCGUCUUGGGCGGGCCGCCGUGUAUAGAUGCUUUUGAGGACGCGGCACUCUUCCAUGGUAUGAUUAGACUUUGGGUGCAGUUGGCAUGGUCCCUUCAACGUUUUGUUGUAGUCUUCUUGGUAGUCCCGUCGUCCGUUGGGACGCUUGACCGUGUUUACUUCGUGGUCGUAGUCGCGAGGGCGCUUUCCUCUAAAAUCGUCGCGGUUGUCGCGCCGCCGAUCCCAACCCUCUCGGUGAUCGCGGUUGUCGGAGCGGCGGUGGUUUCUGCUGUCGUAGCGACCACGACCGUCAUCUCGCCGGGGAGGCUGGUCGGGACCUCUCGCAUCGUCUCGGAUUAGUUUUUCUGCGUCGUCGGCAUCGGCGUAAUUUUUGGCCGUGGCGAGGAGCUCUGCUACCGUUGUUGGACGUUUACGCAACAGCUUGUUCCUCAGCGCUUCGUGGAAACGCAGGCCCUUGAUGAAGGCUGAGAUGGCCUCGUCGUGGGAAAUCUUCGGGAUUUUGAGGCGCAUAUCCGAGAAUCGUCGGAUGUAAUCGCGCAGAGGUUCGUUCUUCCUGUCCCUUAUCCUUUCAAGGUCAUACUUGUUUCCAGGCUGCUCGCAUGUGGCGAUGAAGUUGUCGAUGAAAGCCUGGCGUAGCUCUUCCCAAGAGUCGAAGGAGUCCUCGGACAAGUCGAGAAGCCACUGAUGACCAGCCUGGUCGAGGACUACGGGGAAGUAGUUAGCCAUGACGUGCUCAUCCCCUGCCGUUGAUCGGACGGCGAUUUCAUAAAGGGUGAUCCAGUUCUCUGGAUUUUUCUUGCCGUCGUAUUUUUUAAGUUUUUCGAGCUUGAAAUUGUGGGGCCACACGACCUGGCAGAGGUGUGAGGAGAACUGUCUUAGGCCCGGAGGACCGUGCGUUGCAUCGUACUCGAUGCGGCGCAAGUUUUCGUGGACUGCUCUCUCUGUGGCGCGCCUGUUGAUGCGGUCUCGGGCAUCUUUGGGAGGGAUGUUGUGGCGGAGAUCCCUGUGCUGGUUUACUUCUUGGCCGUGUACGCGGUUCUGCUUGCGGCGACCGUCGGCGUCCCGACCACCAUCGUCGCGCCGUGAGUCCUCUCGACGGUUGUCGGGAGAGCGGCUGCGGUGACGCCUGCUGGGAGACGGUGAGGCCCGGCUACGAUUAGUCUGGUCGGAGGCGGCUUCCGUAUAAGAGACGUCCUGGACUCUCUUGAGCAGAGUGGCUGUCUGUCCCAUUGCAGCGAUCAGGUGUGCUCGGAUGCUGGUCCGGACUCCCUGGCACUCGGGGGUAUCAGGAAGCCGAUCUAGGUUAGCCAUGGCGACAGCCACGUUGGCGCUUGGCGUUUUGUAGACUGGCUGGUCCCCGACCAUGUCAAAGGCAUCGUUGAGAUUAUUUGGUGGCAUUUGUUGUUGCUCGUCUGCGCGUCGUCGGGCGCGAUCGGCGUUGCGCUGUUCGCGGAGUUGCCUCUGGUCAUCUGUUUCUCCAUCAACGACCGGUUCGUCGGCGCUGACAUUGAACACAAUAUCUCCUCGCCGGGGGGGAAAUAUCGGGAAUCGGUUGAAACCCGGAGGGUGUGAAGGAAAAUCCAGGUCGUAGUCCUCGUCUUCGGUGUUUAUAACCUCGGUGGGGACGGAACCGGUGCUUGAGUUGGUGCUGGAAACCUGGCCGUCCCGUAGUUCUCGGAUUGUCACCAUGUUGACGUAGUGACGAUCGUUCCUUGUCGGCGACCAACCCGCCUUGCUGAAAACGGAUUGGGUGUGCUGUGAGUAAACAGAGGCCGAGUUGUUCAGGCCGCAAGGAUAAUCUUCCUUCUUGAGCUCGACGGAUCGUCGUGAGGGUGUUGAGGUUAUCGUCAGAGACGUUCCCAGCCGUUCGUGUGUGGCGACACGAGUUGGCCGGCGGGAUUUGAAAAAAUCCGCUGGAGCAGCUUGGUCGGGCCGACGCAGAACUCCGUCUACUAGUUGGGAAACUUCGAGUAGCUUGGAGUCAGCGCGAUCAAGCGCUUGGAGAAGGUCCGAGCUGUCGAUCUUCUUUCCCUUGUAGAGCGGGAACGGUGGUCGGGCGCUCGGUGCCGCCACGUGUGUGGUCGGAGACGGCGUGAUCUCAGAUUGGAUCUGGGUCUCUUUCGAAACCGUGGUCGUGAGGCCGCCGCUGCACGUCGUCCACGUGAUCUGGCCAACGGUGAACGUGAGGCCUUCAGGCACGGUCGCGGAAGCUGGGAUCGUGACCAUCUUGUUCGCCGGAAAAGUUGCACGCACACCCCCUACCUGGCGCGCCACUGUCGACGAAAGCUGGUCGGCAGUCUACCUUGGGGUAUACCCACGGUAGUAGUUUAUCGGUAGACGGUCCGCAAACUACGAACUCGAUGGUGACGCAAGACUCGGACAAGCUUUUUAUCCAGGUUCGGCCGCCGAGUUGGCGUAAUACCUACGUCCUGCGUCUGGUUGUAUUGAUUUGUGUUGAGAGAAUCGUAUGUCUUAGGGGGUUUCCCUUGCCUCUCCUUAUAUAGUCUGAAGGGCAGGGUUACAGAUCUGGAAACUAAUCCUAGUCGGUUACAAUUGUCAUAGAUAGUUCGAUAUCAAUUCCUAUUCUAACCGACUAGAAUCCUGCUUGAUCUCCACAUCUUGCUUCCUUGCGCGAAACUCCAGGCUGUCGGAUCAAGCCUUGAACUCGUCUCGUAAUGGGCCAAGCCUCCUGGCCCAAGUCUAGCCGUAAGGGUAUAGGGGUCUAUCCCCCACAGAGUCCAACAAAAUUAGAUUUUAUAUUUUAUGAUACUUUUGUGAUUUAUUAUGAUUUUUUAAAGUUUUAGCCAAAAUAAAUAAAAAAGAAAAAAAAAGACAAAAACCACUUUUAAACCCGCUUAUAACUGGGCUAGGGAGGUAAAAUACAUGGUUUUAAAAAUUAAAGAGAGGUGGUUUGCUCGGUUUUAAAGUUUAGGGAUAAAAAACGGACUUUCGUAAAAGUUAAGAGAGAAAAAUGGACUUUUUCUAAAAACAAAACUGCCCCAUAUAGCCCCAUGACGCAUGCACAGAACCUGGUGAUGCGUCUUGGAUCCAUGGUCAUGUUGGAUUGCCGGCCUCAAAUGUCAGAAACGCAAUUUGUUAGCUGGACUCCUCACAAUACGGCCCUCCCUUGGUUGUCGAAUAGCACAGCUAAGGGUCAGCCCGUCGCAGCUAAUAUAUAGGCCUUGUUUAGAUACCAAAUUUUUUUGGAUUUCGCUAAUGUAGCAUUUUUGUUUGUUUGUGGCAAAUAUUGUCCAAUCAUAGACUAACUAGGAUCAAAAGAUUCGUCUCACGAUUUACAGGCAAACUGUGUAAUUAAUUUUUGUUUUCGUCUAUAUUUAGUGCUUCAUGCAUGUGCCGUAAAAUUCGAUGUGACAGAGAAUCUUGAAAACUUUUUGGAUUUCGGUGGGAACUAAACAAGGCCAUAAAAGGAACCGAAAUAUUCCGUAUCGACUACUUUCAUUUUCUAUAUUAUAAUAUUAUUUUUUAUAUUAUGAUAUCGUUUUCAAAUUUUAUUAAACAUAAAAAUUUAUCAGUUUCAGUUGGUUUCAUAAUCAUUUUGAAUCAUUUUUUGUACUCUUUAAUUGCUAAAAUAUAGAAAUAUUACAUACCGUCCGCGUUCGUUUUCUAUAUUGUAAUUUCUUUUUCGACCGUUUUCAUCCUUGGUCGCAGCAUAUCAAAGCAAAAUAAAUUCUCAAAAAUAAAGAUAAAAAAUCAAAGCAAAAUUUUAUUUAUGCUAAGUAUAUAUAGCAACAAAAAAGGAUAAAAAAAAUCCAAUCGCCAGAAGAAGUCCUGUUACAAGGCAGCAAAUAAAUGUCUGCUAAAGAUCAAGUUUUAACGUAGGUGGACUUAAUUAAUUAUACAGCCAUUAAAAAUUGGUAAAUCACUUCUAAAUAUGGAGCGAGGGCUCCUAAAUAUGAGGUUUGUGAUCUGGUAUACUUUAACUGAUAUGCAAAAUUGAGCGAGCAGUAAGUAAUUAUUUGCCAUGUUUUCUUAGACCUUGUUUAGUUCACCCUAAAAACCAAAAAGUUUUCAAGAUUCCCUGUCAUAUCAAAUCUUGCGGCACAUGCAUGAAGCAUUAAAUAUAAAUAAAAACAAAAACUAAUUACACAGUUUAGCUGUAAAUCGCGAGACGAAUAUUUUGAUCCUAGUUAGUCUAUGAUUAGAUAAUAUUUGUCACAAACAAACGAAAGUGCUACAGUAGCGAAAUCUAAAAAAAUUUCGCAUCUAAAUAAGGCCUUAGCUCACCACCCUCUAUAAAAGCAUGGGCAUAGAGCAUGCCAUUAUUUCAACUCCACCCACUCAAAAACACCCCAGAGCAAGAUCUUGAAAACUACUCUCCACAGUCUACACUUACCUCGAUCAGCAUCUCAUGGCGCUUCUCAGGCGUACUGAAACUAGGGUCAUGUUCUUGGCUGCCAUCGUCGUCAUGGCCACCAUGGUCUUCACAGCUCUCCCCUGUGCGCAAGCCAAAAAGGGCGGUACGUACUAUAUAUGCGCACUCUUAUUAUAUAUGUUUCUAUGAACAUAAUAUAUAUCCCUUUUAUCUAGUCGUCUUUUAGACAUGGACACGAUCAUAGUAUCACCAAGUGUUUAAUUUCACUUGAUUUGUGCAGUGUGCGAGCAUCUGCCGGGGUGCACUAUCAAGUCGUGCCGCGCCAAGUGCAAGUCCAAGGGCUACGCCAACACCGUCGUCGACUGCGGGAAGACAGGAAAGGGCACGUCACCGGACAAUUGCUGCUGCUAUAACACUUCUGCCACAGAAUUAGCUUGACUAGUUAGUUUCAGAGUUGCCAGCUGAAAAUUACUUAGUCAUGUCUCAGUUACCUGCGCUUGUCUAACCCCAUGCAUGUCUCUAUAAUCAAAAUAAUUAAAAAAUAUAUGUCUUAGUUAUCCAUUCCAUGCCCUCCCCUGCUCCCCAAAUUUAUUCAAAUCCAUUUGUCCAUGUCCACUGGCCACUGGGUAACUGAACUGUGGGCAAGAGCCAAAUUUUGGCUGCUGCCUGCUGCAAAUUUCUACUGCUAGCUGCCCUUACGUUCGCAGCCUCGAACGUCUUAAAGGAAUCGACAAGAUCAGUUAAAAAUUCUACUAGUUUUGGAAAGCACAGAAAUUAUAAUGAACAACACAAUGUUAAUUCCAUGCUUGAAAUCCACACACAAGGAGCAAGCAGCAACAAGAACAUCAAAGCAACAAAGUUCCAUAGCAAUCGAUUUGAACAGCUAAUAAAACUUAACAAAUCAAAGACGCCUGUCAGAGCCCAAAUCUGAUUCUAGAAAUUGACGUAGAUCUGCAACAAGCUGGAAGGGAAGACAAAGUUUUGGUGGGAUCAAGAUUCAAGAGGUAAGCCAAAGCCACCAGCAACCUUUCAAACAGCACUUCACAACGAGGAAAGACACUUCAGUCAGCUUGUUCCAUACGUCAUAUAUUUAAAAAAAGACGGAGGAAGUACUCACAUUAACUAGGAUCACAUAUAGUUAGACAGAUAUCAGCUUAGUGAGAGGAAAUAUACAUCUUGAGAGCUGUAAAACAGAAACCAGGUUCAGGACAGGACAAGCCCAAGAGCAAAAAGAAACCCCAAAGGAACAACAUAUAGGCUAAUUGAGCACUGCCUUAUCACCCACCUCGCUUCGCUUAGCGGCAUCACUUGGUACUUUGGCAACAACUUAAUUGAGCACUGAAUGUAUCAGUUGGCUUGAAGUUCAUUGAAACUGCACGUCUGCCUACGGCACUUGAUCGAAACAUCAUAAGACAUGAUAUAUCAGUAGGCAGCAACUUCAUCGAAACUGCAUAUGUCACUUGGUAGCAACUCGACUUGAUACAUCUCCAUAUAUCAGAUUGCAGCAACUUCAAGCAGUAAUACAAGAAGUAUAGCUGAAAGAACAGGCUCUCUGUUCAUCAAGCACUCCAUACUCUAAUAUGCUCCAAAUUAAGGGAGACGAGAUAGUGCUCACUGGGAUUCCAAAACACUAGUAAAUAUAUAGUCGAACUUCUGAACUAUAUAUAUGUGGAGAUUUAAGCAUUCUACAACCCCACCGUCCUUGCCAGAUCAACAGCAAGUGUUGGGAAUUUCUGCAACAGCAUGAGAAAACCAUCUGUGGCCACUGCCUUCAUGAAAUUUCUCUUCACAGCAAAGAAGUCCAUGCACUCUCUCUUCAACUUUGGACAGCCGUACGUCUCAGCGCAAACUAAAACAGAAGCAACUGUUUGGACUGAGACAUUCUCACAUAGCUUGAGUUCACAAAUAACCUUGAGACGGUCCAGUGCAAAUCGGUCAGCCGCAACAAGCAAAUGCAUCAUCAUCUCAGUGAGAGGGUCUCCAAGCUCGUCAUCCGAAGGCAAGGCAUCGGUGUACAUGAACUGGAGCAUAACUUUGAAUGCAGCAGGCUCGAUAUCGUGCAGCGUGAUGGAUGGCAUUGCGGCGUCUGCCAUUGCGCCAAAGAGCUCCGCUUUCAAGACCGGUGAUCGGGCUGCGAGCACAGCACGGUGAGCAUGGAACACCUCACCGCCGACGACGAAAGACACAUCUGUCCCCAAAGCGGAAUCCAGUAGGUGGCCCAGAUGGCUUGCUAAGUCAGGCUGCGGCGGCACAGGCAAGGUGCUGUCAAUGACUAUGACCCCGCACAAGAUUGUGACCCUGCCAUUAAUCACAUAGAGCAACUCGAGAUCACUUCGCUUCACGAAGCGUUUCCACCCCAGCUCGAUGCCGCCCCUGGGUGGGUAAACCUCCACGGACCUGAGCGCAUCUGAAGAAGACAGCGUGCCAUCUCUGCACACCACGGAAGCAUCGAAGAUGGCUCUGACGUUCUUGGAUUUGGUCAGCAGCUGCAGGUAGAUUGAUAGGUGCUCGUUGUCGCCAUCUACCUUGUCCCCACGCGGGUAGCAGUUAAUCCUCCACAGGAAACCCCCGGCGGAGAAGCUCUCGGAGCUGACCACGUCCCCAAUGCCGAGGUGAUGGAUUUGCGCGUAGUUAAGCUUGAACUCGAGAAAACCAGAGCCCAACAUACUACUGCUUGUCUGCAUCCUAAAAGAAUUUCCCGUGUAAAUAGCACCGAUUCACAAGCAAGAAAACCCUUAAUCGUAGGAAAAACUGAAGAAAAGGACGCGAAAAAUACUCACUCUCAUUCCAACAUAUGGUGGUGAACUUGCGGUCGGGGUAGCCGGCUAGGGUUGGUGAGCUUGGUGGUUGUUUGCUCCAGCCGGCGGCCGCCGUGAGCUUAAGGCUCCUCAGGAAAGGAGCGGCGUACGCCUUGCCUCCGUCAAGCCUCCUGCCGCCGAUCGUCGCCUCCGACAAAGCCUCCGCCUCCGCAGCUCGCUUCACGGAAUGGCCUGGCCGCCGCGGCGCCCGCGGCGUAGUGACGUAAGCUGCCUGCUCCAGCGGGGAGACUCGUGGGCUUGUGGCCCAAACAUAGGCCCAUCAAAGAGGAUAAGCCCACCGUUGCCUUCAAAGAGGAUAAGGGCAACGAUGACUUGGUUCUAAAUUCUAAUCAUAUUAUUUUAUUUAAUCGUAUUUUUUUUAAUAGAAGAGAGAAAAUCUAUCUCUAAAUCAAUAGACAAUCUCAUACAUAUACUCGAAGAUCAUGUGAGGUUGUUCAUUUGUUCGAAAAAACUUUCACUAUCAACAAAAAAGAGGAAUGCAAUUGACUGUCUUCGGAGACAGUACAGCCCUUAAUCCAAUGAUAAACCUUAAAAUAGAUAAAAAUUUUCAAAAUUCUCCAUCACAUCGAAUAUUUGAACGCAUGCAUGAAGCAUUAAAUAUAGAUAAAAACAAAACCUAAUUACAUAGUUUGUCUAUAAUUUACAAGACAAAUCAUUUGAGCCUAAUUAAUCUAUGAUUGGAUAAAAAUUGUCAAAUACAAACGAAAAUGCUACAGUGGUGAAAACAAAAAAAAUCUUGUGGACUGAACAAGGCCUGAAUUUGUCAUGUUGGUGAGUGCCCAAAACCAUCUCUUUCCUUAGCGAUAAUUAGAUUGAUGAUAUGAGGUUAUUAUCCUUAUGGUGAGUGCCCAAAACCGACCAUCUCUUUCCUUUGUAGAUAAUGGCUAAAAAUUAACCUUGUAUUGAUGAAAUGAAAUGAAAUUAACCAUAGUUUAGAACAGGUACAAAUGAAUCGUUCAAACCGAGCACGCCGCGUGGCUGCCUUCUCCCUGCCGGAGCACCACGCCGUUGGCCAACCGCAGGCCUGCGCCAACAAGCACCCGAGCGCGCUCUGCACUGCACCGAGCUCGUUCGUUUGUUUUAUCGGUUAUAAUUUUUUUAAUCAGCCAAUAGGCUUAGGCCUUGUUUAGUUUCGAAAAAAUUUCGGAUUUCGCUAAUGUAGCACUUUCGUUUUUAUUUGACAAAUAUUAUCCAAUCAUAAACUAGCUAGGAUCAAAAGAUUCGUCUCGCGAUUUAAUGUGUAAUUAGUUUUUGUUUUCGUCUAUAUUUAAUGCUUCAUGCAUGUGCCGCACGAUUUGAUGUGACGGGAAAUUUUGAAAACUUUUUGGAUUUUGAAGUGAAAACAAGGCCUCAUUAGGUAUGCUCGCCGGUCGCCACGCGGCCGACGAUGGCCGGAGCACAGCUGCCUCGCCCAACCGCGCCACGCUCGCGUUCCGGCGCUGCUCGGUCUUCGAGAACCAGCCUGCCGAGCCGGCGGCAUCCCCAUCCCCAACCCCCUUCCCGCUCCAGCUCCUUUUCUCCCUCCACUUUGCUUUGCUCAGUUCUGCCAGCCGUGUUCCCGCCACCGUGCACUGUCGUCGACCUUGCCGAGAUUUGUGAAACACACUGGAAAAAUAUAAUGUAGAAAAAUUCAAAAAAUUGUCGAAACCGGUUUUAAUUAGUAGACUUGGGUUGUUUAGAACUGUAGACGGAAAAAAUAAAGAACCGUAUGUUUUGUUGUACCCAUGUGUGCUAAAUAGAAAAAAACGUUGUUCUAUACAGUAAAUUACUUAUAUCACUACUUAGCUGUCUUUCGUACGCAGCAGAGCUAAUAUGAGGCUUCUUCUAGGUAUAUAAAGACAAGGUUAAUCAUUUAUUGUUUUUUACCUAUUUAAAGUGUAUUUGCUCUUAAAAAGAAGUUAAAUUUUACGACGCUUGCAAAUUAUGAGAGCCCUUUGUUUCAUAAAAAUAGGAGGAACUAGAUAGAAGCAACUUAAGUUGUGAACCGGAAUCAAAAAAUAAGUGGGUCUCAAACUAGCUUCUAAUUAAUUUUGGAGGAUAUAACAAUAUUUUAAUAUCUUAGAAACUGCUUCUCUAGAUCACAAAAAAGAGUUGCUUCUCAUCUCAAUGCAUCUUAUCAUAAUGUUCUUCCACAGCUCUGCCGCUCGCUUCCUCUCGAUGCACCAGCGGCUCAGCGUCCCCAUGCUCCGUGGACACAUUGACUUCGGUAGCUAACGCUCAUCCCCGCAACUCCCUCGCUAGCUUUAUCUCCUUUUGUCUCCACAGCUUUCUCCCUCUCCAGCAACUCAGAUGACUCCCUCCGACUACCAUGCGCUCGAUGUUAGCCCGCAAUAGCGCUGAUCCGCAUGCUGCCAUCUCGCUCACGGGUCACGAUGGCACAGCCCCGUAGCACACAACCUCUCUUCGUCACCAUCGCCACAUACGGCGAAGCAUCCAUCUUGGAGCUGGAUCCACGACACCACCUACGCCACCAGCGUCCACUUGUCGUCGCCCACAGCGAGGCGUUCAUGGCGUCCAAUGCUACGGCGGCGCAGAUCUUGACGAACUACCUGGCACACGAUGCAACAUGCGUCAAGGCGAUCUCCAUGUUCGUCCGCGACGGUGGCGGACGCAAGGGACAUGAUGAGUGCAAGCGACGAUAGCAUCGGGUUCGCGACGCUCGUGAUGUUUGGCGGCCUGGCGCAGGGCAGCGGUGACUACUUUGACACGUGAGCAAGCCAACACCCAUGCCAUCGGUGAUACACUCAGUCAUGACGGGUGUUCGUCCAGCAAGAUCACUGUGGCACAACCCUGCAACAGCGAUGUAGCGGUGUUGCCGUGCAACAACGAUGUAGCGGUGUUGUCGUGCAACAACAACUUAGGUGCCAGUGACACAAGGAGAGACGAGAUCCCGAAUCACAGGCACCAACUACUCUCAUUCGCAUUUGUAGAAUUAGGUUACAAGUCAGUGGUGCAGAAGCAGAAAAGUUCUAAACUGCACUUAAAAACAAUCAAUUAUUUUUCGUAAUUAAUAGGUGCAGUAAAUAUUUUUCACAGGAGAAACUGAUGGUUCUUCCAAGCACCAUAUCAAAGCUCAAUGUAUAUUUUUAAUCAAAUUUUGUACGCACGGCUUUUUUUUACGAAACUGAAGGGGCCUUAGACCCUACAGAGCUUUAUUAAAGAGAAAAAACCGAGUACAUCAGCAUACAAUCAGAAAAUCAACCACAAACUAAAAGAGGGAGCUAAGAGACAAAAAAAAGGAAAAAAAGUAGACUAAGACAGCAAUCUAUUGUAGACUUUGAAUCCAUUGCUCAAAACGUUCAGUGAGGUUCCCUUUCACUCUAGUCAGUCUCAGUUCUUGAAAAAACAGAACAUUUGCACCAUGAAUCCCAAUCUGAGAAUUGUUGAAGAUAAGCUCAUUUCUGAUUUUCCAAAUAGUCCAAAGCAUGACAAUUAUAGCAUUCAUGAAGAAAGUAGAGCGAAGUUCUAUUCUGAUGGCCUUCAAAUUUGCAACUGAAUCACCAUCCUGUACUGUAUGUAGGUUCUUACAACACACUAGUUCAUAUGAGUCUAAUAUACGAAUGUGUUCAGUCUAAUGAGUCUAUCAAUUUUUCAAGUUUGUUGUAUUGUUUCCCAAAAUUUUGUUUGGUUGAAUUUUAAGCCACCCCAGUCUGCAUACUAAGGAUUAUGUCAAUCUGAUUCAACACGUCAUGGUCUUGAACUAACCUCCCCCUGCUACCCGGCGCUGCUAAUUAGCAAACAUUCGGAUUGAUAAAUUUACCUCUAACUCGAUUCUUCAGACGUACUUAUAACAAAGAUAUACAUAUGUGUGUUUAUUUUUUAAAAAUAUAUAAUUCGCACCUCUCUUUUUUUUAUAGCACCACCGCCCUGCACUACAGUCAUUCUCUUUUUCACAUGCGCGCACGCGCCGAGCAACUACUGCAUGCAGCCAGUCUCCUGAUGGCACCUUGAAAAUUAAAGAAAAAAAAACUUUAAAUGGUAUCUUUCUGAACGUUAUAUCUAUUUUUUAAUUCUAUAUGCACCGUUGUAUUCUACACAAUGAGGUGAUUAAAACUAGACCUAUAUUUCAAAGAAUUUUAUUCUAGUAAUAAUUUAUGUGUACUAAAUUACAGCAUAUACUAAUUUACGACUUAUAUCAAAACUUAUGUAUAAAAGUUAUGAAACAACUUAUGUAUAAAAGUUACUAAACACAAAUGAACGAAUCAACUUAUGACUUACGCCAAAACUAAAAAACAUAGCAAGAACGAAUUAACUUAUAACUUAUACCACUUAACUUGAAAACAUAAAAGUUAUGAAACAAGUUUAUGUACAAAAGUUAUCAAACACAAUUUGUAUACAUAAAUUAUUCUAUACAACUUGUGCAUACAGUGGCGGAGCUAGAGGGAGGGUGCACUUGCCUUGUGAGUGCGUAGGAUUUUACUCUGUGGAUGCGAAUAUGGUGAAAUUUUAACCAUAAUCACCGUUUUUUGAUAUAUUUGUGUGCAUAUAAGUUAUGUGAAAGAAGAAUAAAAAAUAAAAAUAAUACUAAAAAACACAUAGAAGUGGACUUGUUCUGAAUAAAAAUAGAUGAAAAACGAAAAUAAGAAAUAAAAUAAAAAGGUAAAGGAAAAAAGUAGAAAAUAAAAAAUAGAUGAACACACCUAUACGACUUGUUCUGAAUCGGAUCCUUGGCAGCCGCCGCUCACGUGUAACAGAAAAAAGAUUCUGAUUGAAUCUUCAAAUCUAAAGAUCAGAACCAGUAGAAGUGGAUGGGCUUCAAACAUUCCUGGUUUCACCCCCACACAAAAUGGAGGAAGCAAGCAGGGAAAUAUUACAAAAUGGAGGAAGCAAGCAGUGUGCGGCGUGCCUCAUAGUUGAACGUCUCCAGUGCAUAUCACCGUAGAUAGAAUUCGGCAUCAUUAGCACAUUUGAGGGACAAACAAUAGACGAAUAAGAAUCGGAAGGAAAAUAAAAAAGAUUGAGACGAAUACAAGUCUAAUUUUGUGGUACUGAAAUUAAAGCCAAGAUUUCAAUGCACCACAAAGCAAUAAUUAAAAUUCCAGUUCGGCCGGGCCUCAGUUGAACGCCUCAAGAACAUCACAAAUCUCUCAACGAAUUCAACUUGAAAUAGUAAAUCAUCAUCGGCACGGAAUAAAAAAGAAAUCGAGGAAGCUUUUCAGAGAAUAAAAUAAAUAAAGUGGUGGAAAGAAAAACUUCAAGAUGGAUCUCAAAAUCUCACGUAGAACCGACGACAUCACACUACGAUAUCUGCAAUCAGGAAUCUCGUUGCCCUACACACACACAAAAAAAACAAACAACAAGAAGCAGAAAAGGCAGAUUGGGUUCCCAACAAGUGUAGAUGGAGGCGCCGCUCGUCUGGUCCUUAAAUAGCCAGGCCGCCGCGGGACGGACGGCCGAGAUGACAUCUGGAUUCUGACCGUGCUCGCAUCGAUCGACCUCCAGCUGCUGCCGUCAUCUUUUUCUUUUCGGCUCCGCGUGGGAUGGACGCGAGGGUCCACUAGGGCACCACCGCCGUGGACCGCUUCUCCACCGACAAGUAAAUUCGACAUCUGUCUUCUAUUUAUUCUUUUCUAGUAUUGAAGCAAAAUUGAAAAAUCUUUUAGCCAUUUUUUAUUUUCUAUAUUUUUCGUAAACGGUCGGCUGGACACAUCCACCGAAGACCGAACUCGUAUUGAUUGAUAUAGGAGGAUACUUCCUAUAUACUCAUAUGCCCCUGUGAUUUGGACUUACUAUUUAUAACUUUAUACUGAGUUAGAAUAAAGCCUGUGCUAAGGAAGUCCAAUUUUAUAACGUUAAAUCUCUAAACCAUAAAUCCAUAUAAAUCGUCGAGGUUACAUGUUUGCCCAUGUAUGUAUUACUGUAUCUCUUUUCUUCUCUUCUUUUUUCUAUCUCUAUCUACAGGGGCGGACCCACAGGCUAUGCCAGUUGGGCCACGGCAUACCAUGUGGGGCAGCCCUAUACUACUUAACACAAGAUUAUCUUUACAUAGAUAAAUUUGCAACAAAGUUACUAAUAUUGCUCACUGGCCUAGUGGUAAGUCUUUUGUUUUGAAACCUUGAAGUUGCAGGUUCAAACCAUGCUGUCCUCAUUUUUUGUUUUUAUUUUCCAUUUUGCAUUCGUUUGCCGCUAUAUGUACUUAAUCCAUUUUGCAUUCCUAGAUAAUAUACUUCGCUCUUUAGUUUUUCUGUUUUUUUUCCUCUCGUUGUGUCCCAUGAGACCUCAUGUGUCUUUAUUUAUUUAUUUUUUUAAAAAAUAUCCGCUCUAGAUACUAUAACUAUAAAUAAUACAUUUCAUUUUUUUUAUUUUGCAAUUUUUUUCAUCCCGUCUUCUUGUGUCCUGUAAGAUAUGCGCCAUGGAUGGAAUAAAAAUUGGUAGCUAUGUAUGUAUGUUGUCGUGUCUGCUUUGUAAAGUCUACACUCCAACAUUAAUUGUGCGAUGGACAAAAAAUUUAGUGGCAUACCCUGUCGUAAAAUCCUAGAUCCGCCACUGUCUAUCUAUUAUACUAAAAAGAUUCUAACAUCACUAUCUACCUGAUUGAUAUCAAAUCACGAUCCUCACCUAUGCAUCCAUGCAAGAUACGAACCAUUAUUCACUUUGGGUUCACAUGUCCAUAUCCUAUCUAGUUUUGAUAUGAAGAUCGGAUCUAUGUGUCCGUGUUCGAUAUAAUGUUCUUAGAGCUCGCGCAUCUACAUAACAAAAUUUAAUAAAAUAUCAUAAUCCCGAUGCAAAGCAUGGGUAUAUAUCUAGUAGUAAUAAUAAUCGGCGCUUCUAUCCUAGGGUUCAUCCGGACACUAGGACCCGUCCACCACUCACGCGCCUGCACGUAAUGCGCCUCCCAUGAAAAGAAAGAAGAAAAAGAACGACAAUGAAAGAAACCACGCCAUCGUCCCACGAGAAGAAAAGAAAUCCUAGCGGCCCAUCCCGCCAUCCCGACGCGUCACACUCGUUCCCUUGCCAUCCUGUCAGAUCGCCGAGGCGGAGGCGUCAGCAAGCUCGCAUGCGGGUACGACAUCAUGACCUAGGGCACAGCUGGAGAGCGGCUCGGACGAGCGGAAGCGGAUGCCUGCCGGAGGAGUGAGAGGAGAGCGAGUGCGUGCGAGAAAGCUAGGGAGAGUGAGUGGGUGCGUCCGUUCCCGUCCGCUGGGGGUCACGGGUUGGAUGCGAACAAAAGACCACGAGCGCUCGAGUCAUUGCUGUGUGGUCCGUUCGAACGGACGGACGCCCAUACAGUAUCAAUACCGAAUAAUAAUAGAAAACACAUAAAACCAUGUAGUAUCGGUGUACUGUGUUUGCAUGUUUCCAUCUCGGCUCAAAGCCGCAAGUAAAGUUUGCUCAAAGGUGCAAGUAAAGUUGAGAAACGAGCCGGCCCGGCAUGGCAUGGCAAGGGCCCGUGCUAGCACGAGCCCAUGUGGCCCGUCGUGCCACCGAGCUGUGCCUCCAUAAGCCACCGUGCCUGCCUGAUGGCCCAAGCAUGACACGUGGACCGAUUUUCGAGCCAUGCCGGCUCGAAGAGCAUGAGACUCAAUAGUCCAUCGGACCGGUCCUAGCCCGAUAUAUAAAAAACACCAAAUUCAAUACAUAAUUCAACAAAAGCACAAGUAAAUCACAUUCAAGUCACAGACCUUGAUACUUCACAAUUCACAUAACACAAUAUACUUUACAGAUCAUAUUUCACAAGCCACAAGUCACAGAAUUUGAUAUUUCAAAUUUCAUAAAUUCUCUUGUACCGGGCUGAGACCGUGCCUUCCGUUAAAAGCGAGCUGUGAGACGUCUGAAAGAAUUAUCAGAGACGUGUAGAGAAACGUUGUAUCCUAUCUUGGAUUACGAACGCAUGCGUGUUAAUUGUAUUGGUUAAACGGAAUAGCCCUGUCCGUGGCUUACACAUAGAAGUUACAAAUAUGGUUGUUACACAUGCAUCACAUGCAUCCAUCCAUAAUAUUCUAAUUACAGUAACCGUGAUCAUGUAAUCUCUCUUGACCAUAUUUUAAUCAUAUAUCUCUCUUUUGACUAUAUCUAAUCCAUAUCCUAUGAUUGCGCAAUUUCCUUGCUUUACACAUACAUACACGUUGCAUGCGUAUACACAUCAUCUAACAACUGCCUUCCCCAGGAUCGGGCAGCGCGAGGUCCGAUCCUCCUUGGCGCCGCGCUCCUGUGCUCCGCGUGGUGGCGCUUGGCACGCGACGAGCCCAUCCGCAUUGAUCUGACUGACCUCUCCGGACUACGACGGGGACGACGGCAACUGGCUUUUCAAAGAAGGCGGUCGGUCAGCCGCCUUUUCAACCAAGGCGAUCGAGGACGUCGACGACGUCUCUUUCUGGUGCCGAGGCUAGCUACAACAAGAUCGCGACGUGGAAGGCUAUGGCGCGGGCGGCCAGUGUGAGGCUUUCUGCUCAGGCCCGCGCCGACGAUGAGGUCCUCCGGUACCUCGCCGCCGGCAGGUGACGUUCUGAUUUUUCUCGCUUCGUUUGAGCCUGACGACGUUGUUAAUUCAUUAGAACAGCCUCAACGCAAGCACACAGCACAGGAUCGUCAUAUGCCUCGUGAAGAAGUGUUUUUUUUUUUUUGAAACUUGAGUGUUUAUUCAUAUAGGGAGUUAGGGAGACAUGGAUAGAGACCAAAGCCGCUCAACGCAAUGCAUGUGCCUCUUUGAGUAACCACACUUUCCCAGUCCUCAAUGCUCGCAGACUGCUAUUUUUCCUCCCACCCAACGCGGUUCCCGGUUGCAGCUUCGUCAGUGUCUGUCAGGUAUACUACCUCUGCAACUGCAAGUUCCUGCAAUACUAUGCAAAGCCACCAUCUUUUCACUUUAGGCAAUACUACCUCUACAUAGUUCCUGCAUGUUUAGUUCCGAAAAGUGAAAAAUUUUCAGUACUGUAGCAUUUUUGUUUGUUUGUGACAAAUAUUAUUUAAUCAUGGACUAAUUAGGAUCAAAAGAUUCGUCUCGUGAUUUACAGCUAAACUGUGUAAUUAAUUUUUAUUUUCGUUUAUAUUUAAUGUUUCAUGCAUGUGCCACAAGAUUCGAUGUGAUGGGAAAUCUUGAAAACUUUUUGGUUUUCAAGGUGAACUAAACAAGGCCUUAAUUUUUUCAUCCACCUAGCAUCCGAACCUAUAUGGGGCUGCUCUUAGUACUCUGACGCUUAUUUAGAGGUCAAUCAAUCAAAUUAGCAAAAUAGUAACAUAGUUUAGUAGCCAAUUGAAUUAUGUAAAUUAUUCAAAAACAAUGCCAGAUAAUAUAUGCAAUGUUUUUUCUCCAUUCAUUUACUUUUUGAAAAAAAAGACACUUGACUGUAUUUGUUUGCGACAUAUAUAUUACCAUUGAUCACAACUCUAAUAAGUUCAUUAUAUAAGGCAUUACCAUGCAUGGACCAUGGUUAUUUUUCUGCAAUAUGUAAUCUACGAAAUGUAUUAUUUUGUAAAAAAGAGAGGAAGGAAUCCAGUCUUUGCCGUUGAUAUAUAUGAUAACUACUACUGGCAAUCGAUAAAUAAAUGUUUAAAAAGUUCUGACUUGAAGCAAAUGGAAGAAGACUUGUAUAUUUUGAAAUGGCGAAAGUAUAAAGGGCAGAUACUUAGUACGCAAGUGUAUGAAUGAAUUAAAUAAUAGUUCAUCUUAAAGACAGAGAAAGAAAUUUAUCUCAUCAAGUCAUCGGCACAGGGGGAAAAUAAAAAUUUAUCUUGCUUCUUUGGCCUGAGGGCAUUUAAGUCAUUUUACAACUCUGUUAGCCACCGUUAUCGAUCAAUAUGAACGGAAUGAUAUGAAGGAUAAAAAAGAGUGUCAUGGUAUGGAGGUCCGUUCGAACUUUUUAAUGGCACAGAGGAAGGGACCAUCUUUCAUAAUGGCAUACGGGAAAAAGCCUCUAAAAUAAACCGCCAACCAAUAGGCAAUAAGUGAAGUCAUGUUAAAGGGGGCAAAUAAUAAUUGCGAAAGAUAAGGUUCAAGAUUUGGAAAUUCAUAAAUGUCUGCUACUGAUGAGGUGUAUAAAUUAUGUUAAGGAGCUAGUACAAAGAGAUAGGUUUUUAUUAACUUGGAAUCAAGUUACACUGAUCUAGAAAACCGAGCAAACAAUAUAGCAGCAACAAAGGACAUAAUGGCCAGAAUUAAUUCUUUGCCAUGUUUGCAUAGGCCACCUACCUCUAUAUAAGCAUGGCCAUUGAGCAUUGCAUUUCAAAUAAUCAAUCUUGCUUCCCAUGGCGCUUCUCAAGAGUAAUGAUACUAGGGCUCUCUUCUUGGCGGCGAUCGUGGUCAUGGCCAUGGUGUUGACACCCUGCCCUGCACACGGAGCAAAUGAUGGUAUAUAUGUCCAUCAUGCACACUCUAACCAUAUAUUUCUUUUCCUAAAAGAUUGUAUGCAUUUGGAUAUCGGCACAGUCAUUAUUGACUAGUUUUUUUUUUUAACUCUGUGUAGAGAAGUGCGAGCAUAUGCCGGGGUGCACUAUCAGUAAGUGCCGCGACCGGUGCAAGCAGUGGGGGUAUGGCAACCCUGUGAUAAACUGCUGGAACACGCCACCAGAUACAGUUUUGGACACAUGCUGCUGCUUUAGUAAUGCUGCUAGAAAAUUGGCUUGAUUUUUAGUACCGACAACUCUAGCUGGAUCUUGACUGAUCGAUCCAAAUAAAUAUAUCAUGAUAUUUUGAAUGGAAAUAAAUCCUUGUUUUGAAGUUCCAAAUUGCCCCAAGCUCUAAAGUAACAUCCUCGAAUAAUGGUAUGACGUAUUAUUACCUGAUGAAGCAUGUUGUUUAAACUAGUGGUGAUCAUUUUUUAUUCUAGACGUGGAACAAAUAUGGAUACAUCUAUGAAAGUUACUACACAUACUAAUAAUAAUGGCAUCAAACUUGUGUGAUGCUUGGUGUGACAUAUUGUAACAAGGGUUGGAGUAACUGCAGUGAACUAACAGGUUUCAAAAGAAAUUGAAUGACAUCCUAAAAUAAUCAAGAAAGAAAUGUAAAUGUAGUACAUAAUUAGUUUCUACCAAAUUAUUAGUCCUUGCUAUAGCUUCUGGAAGAUUUGAUUGGCUUAAGAAAAGAGGUUGAAUUGGACUCUAAAAAAUUAAAGCACAAAUUAAAACAUAGACUAUUAUACUUUUUUGAGACAUUAUCCUUGAACCUAGUACCUAUGGAAAACACAUACUUAGAUAAGAUUGUUAGAGCGAAUAUGACCAGAGUAUGGCUAGCAUAGGGGUAUCCUAAGUCCUCAAGUUAAGGAGCGGCAAUCCAAGUGACUCCUCAAUCGACUCUCUGAGUGAAAGCCCUAGUUUGGUUUUGGAUAAUUGAUGAAACCCUAGUACUAACCUCUGUACUAAGUGUGUGUAGACUUAAUGAGGUUGGUACAUGCCAAGUGAUGGAGCAAGUGAUGAUCAUGGUGAUGAUGGUGAUGACCACAAGAUGAUCAAGUGCUCAACUUGGAAAAGAAGAAAGAGAAAAACAAAAUCCUAUGGAGAUCAAGGCAAAGGUAUUGCUUAGGGUUUUGUUUUUGGUGAUCAAGACACCAUAGAGGGUGUGAUCACAUUUAGGAAGAUAGCCGUACUAUAAAGAGGGGAAUUCUUUGGCUAAGCGGUUAUCAAGUGCCAAUAGGUGUUAUUGUUCAUGUGCAUGCAUUUAGAACCUAGUGAGCUAACUUAACUUCUUCGAAGAAAAUGAUUGUGAAAUUGCUAACACACGUGCACUUGUUGGUUUACACGUUGUGGUGUUGGCACACUUUGAGAAGGAGGUGGACUUUGAAGGGUAGAGAGAGGAUGGGUUCCUCUCUCCCUCCCGCCGAGCUUGCGAGGCGGGAUUCGGCGCUUUUCGAGAAAAUGAAGUGCAUAUUUUCUAUUGCGCCGGAGGGAAAUUUGGAGAAGUCGCGGGAGUGUUUCUCGCUGAGGAACACUCACCGGACGCUGGCUCAGAGGCAUCGGACGCUGUGUCUGAGCGUCCGGUGUGCAGGCUGCCCGACUCGGUUAGGGUUAGGCACCGGACGAUAGGCACCGGACGCUGGCUUGAGCGUCCGGUGGUUAGCGUCCGGUGUGCGGGCGUUUUGCGACCCUCUCUGCGCAUGGGUCCGGUGAGCACCGGACGCUGAGGGUGCGUCCGGUGGCUUGCGUCCGGUGACCCUGCGAGUUUGUGGAGCUCUCUGCGCAUGAGUCCGGUGUGCACCGGACGCGUCCGGUGCCAACCUGCUCAGCGUCCGGUGCUCUGCAGGUUACCGUUAGAUUCUGACACGCGGCUGACGUUGGAGCACCGGACGCAAGGGCUGAGCGUCCGGUGCCCCCUUAAGAGCGUCCGGUGACCCCGUGUUUCGCCCAGUGAAAGAGCCAACGGCUCUAUUUGCUUGAAGGGGUAUAAAUACGUGUUUGGCCGGCUUGGGGCUUACUCUCUUGGCAUUCUAACAGACAUAACAUCCUUGUGAGCCUAAGAAAACACCUCCCACUCAUCUCCUUCAUAGAUUAAACAUCUUUGUGAGAUUGGGAGUGAUUCCAAGUGCAUUUGCUUGAGUGAUUGCAUCUAGUGGCACUUGGGGAUCGAUUUGGCUGCGGUUUUCUCGUUACUCUUGGUGGUUGCCGCCACCUAGACGGCUUGGAGCAGCGGAGGAGCUUUGGCACGAGUUGGUGAUUGUUCGUGGCCAUCUCCCGGUGAUUGUGAGGGGUCUUGUACCUUCCCCGGCGGAGAGCCGAAAGGUAACUCUAGUGGAUUGCUCGUGUCAUUGAGUUACCUCACUUGUGGGUGGGUUCUUGUGGUGUCCUAGUGAGGACGAGGUUCGUGCUACACCUCUUAGCCACCGAACCACCAAGUGUUGGUCGACACAACGGGGACGUAGCGUGCCGGCAAGCACGUGAACCUCGGGAGAAAAAUCGGUGUCUCAAUUGUGUUUGAUUGGCAUUCUCCCGGUGCUUGAUUGUUUAUAUUGGUGAUUGGUUCAUCCCCUACACGGCGGUAUAAAUAUCUCAUCUUAUCUUUAUUUACCGCAAACUAGUGUAACUAGUUUAGUUGCUUACUUUGACUUGUGUAGCUUAGUUCUCUAGUGUAACUUGUAGAGACUUAGUUCUUGUGUGCAUAGAGAUCUUAGCAACUAGAAUUGUUGGGUAGGUGGCUUGCAAACACCACUUUAGAGCUAGAGCAAAAAGCUUCGCUUUGUUAUUUACUAACCUUUUGCUCUAGUGAGUUUGUAGAAUUUUUAAAUAGGCUAUUCACCCCCCCUCUAGCCAUAUUAGGACCUUUCAAGUGGUAUCGGAGCCGUGGUCACCGUUUGUGAAGGCUUAACAACCUCGGUGCUCAAAUUAUGGCUCAAAUAGUGUUCAACCAUGUUGGGGGCAAACCACCGUUCUUUGAUGGCACAAGUUCUUUUAACUAUUGGAAGAGAAAGAUGAAAAUGUAUCUUGGAUCAAUCAAUGAUAGAGUGUGGGAAGUCACCGAAAAUGACUUUGUGAUUCUUGAUCCGGCUAACCCCACCGACAAUGAGAGAGCAAACAAGCAAUGCAAUACUAUGGCUCUCAAUACAAUCUAUAAUGGCAUUGAUUCAAAGGUGUUUGAACAAGUCAAAGAUCUUGAAAAAGCAAGUGAAGUAUGGACAAGGCUAGAAGAAACAUAUGAGGGCACUACAACGGUAAAAAGUGUCAAAUUGUAUAUGCUCAAGGACAAGCUAUCCAACUUCAAGAUGAAGGAUGAUGAGUCCAUACCGGAGAUGUUCUAUAGGCUCCAAGUCAUCAUCAAUGAUCUCAAGGGCCUUGGUGAGAAAGUGAAGGAUGAGGAUUUCAUUCACAAGUUCUUGAUGUGCUUACCCAAGAGGUUCAAGACAUUGAGAACAAUCAUCUUUAGAGGUGGAUUGACCGGUGUAUCUCCCAAUGAGGUACUUGGAGAUGUCAUGACCGAAGAUCAAUACAAUGAUAAUGAUGAUGAUGAGGUCAUGAAGAAGGAUGAGGAUGACAAGAAGAAGAAGAGUGUAGCAUUCAAAGCUAGCUCUUCAUCCAAGAACAAGAACAAGGGCAAGGCCAAGAAAGAAGAAUCAAGUGAUGAGGAGUGCUCCAAUGAUGAUAGUGAUGAUGAAGCAUUAGCACUCUUUGUCCGCAAGUUUGGCAAAAUGAUGAAGAAGAAGGGCUACCAUACAAGAAAAAGAAGGGACAACUCCAAGAACAAGGAAUAUGUGAGGCUAUGCUACAAAUGCAAGAGCCCCGAUCAUAUUGUGGCGGAUUGUCCAUAUAAUAGUGAUCAUGAUGAGCAUGAAAAGAAGAACAAGAAGGAGAAGAAAGAAAAGAAGGACAAGAAGAUGGUCUUCAAGAAGAAGAAGGGUGGAUCCUAUGUUGUGACAUGGGAUAGUGAUGCUUCUUCGGAUGAUGAUUCAAGUGAUGAUGACAAGGCAUCCAAGAAGAAGGCACUUGCAAGCAUUGUUAUCAACAACAAGCCAUCACUCUUCGACACUCCUUCAUGCUUCAUGGCCAAGGGCCACAAGGUACAAUAUGAUGAGAGUGAAAGUGAAAGUGAACAUGAACAUGAUAGUACAAGAGACUCCUCAAACCAUAGGGGCGAAGGGGCUCCAUGCUUGCUUGUUAGCCCCUUUGGUUGGAGGGAGGCUCCUUGCAUACCAAGGAAGCCUCAAGAAGGCUCAAGCGCCAAACAGCAACAACAACGUCAUGGAGUGAUUGUGACAUUACCAACCCCCUAAUACACGACAAAGAAGCACUUGGCAGCGCUACGACAAAGGAACCAAAAGCAUAGGCCGAGAAUCCCCUAGGUUAGAAUCCAUCAGAUUUGUACACCCCAUGCCCUCCUCGAUAUAUAAGGGGAGGCAUGGGCCCUUGUAGAAGAGGAAGACUGAUCAGGAGAAUGAUUAGCCCUAGGUAGAAACUACGAACCCUAGGUUAGCACCAAGCGAUCCCUUACAAAAGUCUCUCAAUUCCAUUGUUGUAAAGAACUAUAGAUUGGGUCAUUCCUAAUACAAAGAACACCAUACUACUGGACAUAGGGCUCAGAGGUCCGAACCAGGAUAAACCGACCGUGUCCCUGCAUGUUUUGAGUGUCCAAGCCACCACCCACACAUCGACCUCCAAUGGACAAACUCAAUGCUCGCCAUGGUUUCAAACCCACGACACCACACACUAAGCUAUGUCCUUAAGAAAGGCUAGCACUAAUAAUUGCAAGAACAUAGACCAAUUACUGUAAAUCGAUGUUAUAGCCUUGACAUCUUUGAAAGAGAUUUUGUUGAUAUUCAUUCUUAUGGGAGAAUGAUUUCCUACUAGAAAAAAUAUUUGAGGGUUACGAGUUUGUUAAUGCUAAUCAUGUUUAAUAAAUAGAUGGCUCAAGAAAAGCCAAAGAAAAUAUCUUAAAUUCAAAUGAAAUCAUCCUAUCAUGUUUAGUAAAGAGAUGAGACUAGCCAAGGUACCUCACCUACCUGGCGGACAAGUGAAAGUACCGAAUGGCCUAAGAGGGGAAAGUGAAAUGGGCUUCUAAAAAUUUAAAUCAAGAACCUUAGCCUAUGCAAAAACUGCUUCACACACUUGUAAGGAAAAAUCCUGGUGCUUAAAAUUAAAUAAAACACCAAUGUGUCCUUAACUCCAUCACACUAACCGUGUCCUUAGCAACAUUCACAAUAAGACUAAGGUCAUUAAGAUGCAAGAAGUAAACCUACUGCUAAGCACACUCUACCAAGCAAUCCUAGUUGUCACACAAAAGAACUUACAAUAGAAAAAGCUAAGCUAGAGGCUAAGACGCAAGAACCUAAGAUAGGCAAAGAGACAACCCGAUUUUUCUGGUUUUCAAUUAUUGCCACAACCUCCUAGUCAAUGUGGGAGCACCAAAGAUGCAAAGAGCCACAUAGACUCAAUUAAGCUCUUUUGAGUCAUGAAGUCUCAAGCUCCUCUGAGUCAUGGAACAUGGUUUUGCAAUAGAGUUGUCAUUUUGUUGAUAUAUUCUUUUUCUACAAAUUUGGUCAAACAUAAAAUUGUUUGACUAAGGACAAAACACACUUACAUUAUUUUUGGGAUCUGAUGUUGUAAUUACUAACUAGCAAGCAAGAAAUAAAUUGAAACAAAUGUGAAACUAAACUUGUUACACAUACACUACUACUAAUUUGUACUGCUAAACUCUGUGAUGCCGAGGCUGCAGAGCGUCAAUCAGUAAACAAUUGAUGGCAUUCUAAAAUAACCAAGCAGAAAAUGUGUAACUGCAGCAUAGCAUAAACUCCCUGCCAAAUUAGUCAUCUCUCUCUAUAUAAGAAUGACCAAAGAAACCUGGCAUUGCAACCCCACACCGCAACAUAAAAGCAACCAUUAUUAGAAACACGAGCUCCUCGGAAGCAUGGACAGUAGAGCUCUGUUCUUGGCGGUCACCAUGGUCAUGGCCAUGUUCUUGUCACCCUACCCUGCACAAGGGCAACAAAAAGCAGCAGGCUUUGUAGUAUAUACACAUGCAAGUACUCCAUCUAUUAUUACAUUUUAUAUCUAUAGUACUCCCUCCGUCCUAAAUUAUAAGUCAUUUCAAGAAUCUUGGAGGGUUAAAGUUUUUAAAGUUUGACCAAAUUUAUAUAGCAAAAUAAUAACAUUUUUGGUACCAACCAAGUAUCAUUAUAUUCUUUGUUAGUUAUAUUUUCAUAGUGUACCUAUUUUAUGACAUAAAUCUUUAUAUUUCUCUCUAUAUUUUUGGUCAAACUUAAAAAUGCUUUGACUCUACAAGAUUUUUGGAAUGACUUAUAAUUUGGAACGAAGGGAGUAUGUGUUAUCACAAGGGUGACUGUAUUGUGACAUUAUUACCGUUGUACAGAGAACUGCGUUAACUUGUAUGGGGUGAAAUGUGAUAAGAAGACAUGCACUGAGAUGUGUCAGUCACAAGGCUACGUCAAUCCUGUGGUAAAAUGCUCCCCACCCCGGACCAGACAGAGCAGCGGCCAAUGCUGCUGCUUUGUAAAAUGCUGUGGUGAGACGGCUUGAUUUUGCAAGACCGCGCCGGGACUCGCAUGUGCGGUUUGCUAAUUGCUAGCUAGUUGCUGUGACUGUGAUGUGAACCAGCUGCUUGAGAGAUGUCAUCACAAUCUGAAUAAAAAACUUGUAGAGACUGGGAUAAAUUUGUUCCAUUAUUUAAGAAAAACAAUUUCCUCCAUUGGCCAUGCUGCCUACAUAAACUCCUGCCGAGAAGAUGAACCUACAUAAACGACCAGCUUUCCUGGGAUAAUCUAUUAUGUUGACCUGGCAAAAUCUAUUAGGGUCAGCUGACAUGACAAAGGGGCCUAGCUCCGCCUUUGAUCUGUUCGCUUGAACUUAUUUGUCGAAUCUGCCAAUUAUUUAGUGGUGUUUUUUCUCAUAACAAAUCAGUAAACAGUACUUUUAGCCAUGACUUUUCAGACAAGUGAACAUGCUUGCACGUGAUAUUCAUUUUUUUCAGAUAAAGUUGCACGUGAUAUUCAUGUCAUAGGGCAUACACUGGACAUAGGGCACCCCGCCUAAACCAGUAUAUAUAUACUCAUGUCAUGUGCACUACCCCUUUGAUCUAUGUAUUGUGCAUGAUACCAAAGUUAUUCACCAGUGGUACAAAGCAUCUAACAAUAAAUCUUAUGAUACCAAGCUAUACAAAUUUCUAGAAACUGAUAGCCAAACAUAGAAUAUUUGAUUUUGGACAAAUCUAGAAUGACAACUACUAUGAGAUACAAGGAGUAACUAGUAGUACAUAAAUAUGGCAAUUUCUACACUACUCCUUUCGUCCUAAAAUAAAUAACUUUAUGAGGUUUAAAAUUUAUCUCAAGAAUAAUAUUCUACAAAAACAUGGGACACUACUCACUCCGUCCUAAAAGGAAUGUCGUUUAAGAUUUUUGUGCCACAAGUUUGACUAAAUUUAUAGAAAAUACAUGCAAUAUUUGAAUCUCUAAAUAAUUUGUUAAAAAAACUAGACUUAAAGAUAUUUCCAAUGAUACUGAUUAUGUACUAUGAAUAUUAAUAUUUUUUACUAUAUAUUUAGUUAAAGUUAUUUCUCGGGAAGCGAAAACGACAUUUAGUUUGGGACGGAGGGAUUACCUCCUAAUGCAGAAGCUAUAAUAGCGGGUGCAUGCAAAUAUCUUACUAUUACUAAUUGCAGGCCCCAACGGAGCCUCCACAUUAAUGCUCACCAAACAUGCUAGGAAAAAAAGAUAAAUGGUAGAAAUUCUCACGUUAAUCAGAAACAUCUGACCACAAAUCAAAGGAUUCUAACCAACCAUAACCAUUGGAGGAAAAAAAAGAUAAAUGAUAUAAAUUCUCACAUUAAUCAGAAACAUCUGACCACAAAUCAAAGGACUCUAACCAACCAUAACCAUUGGAUCUAUUUCAUUUUGGAAGUAAUUACCCACCUCCGCCAUUAUAGAUUAAGAAAAAGUAGACUACUUAUUACUAAUUGGAGGCUCCGUAGGAAAAAAAAGAUAAAUACUAGAAAUUUUUAUGUUAAUCAGAAAUAUCUUACCACAAAUCAAAGGACUCUAACCAACAAUAACCAUUAGAUCUAUUUUGUUUUGGAAGUAAUUACCCACCUCUAUCAUUAUAGAUUAAAAAAAUAGACUAAAAUUACCAAUCACGUUAAAAUAUAUCCAUUGAUCAGCCGAGCUCACGUUUACAAUAUAUGUUAAUAAAAUAUAUGAUGGCAGGACUCACAUUCACGGUGGUUAAUCUCGUGGUCAACCUAUUAAUCUUACUAAAAAAUAUCCAUUGAUGGGCCCAACUCAAAUUUAGUUGGUUGAUAUCCUAUGGGGCCUACCAAUCACGCUCACUUGGUCACCUCCCCUAAUCCGGCACCGGCGGCGCUUGGCUUCUUCACCACCGCCGAAGCGGAAGGCUCAACUGCAUCGAGACGACGAGGAGCUAGGAUCAAGAAGGAUGAUCUGGACUAGGAGCAAUCAAGCUAGGGAUCAAGAAAUGCUGAUGGCUUCAAAGUAAUCCAAAGGAAUCCUUAUAAGAAAAGGAGAUGAGGGUACAUGUGUCUUUUUCCUCAAUCUCUCUGAAAAUUUCCAUAAAGUUAUUUAUUUGGGGACAGAGAUAAAACGAAUGGUGUGCGUGAACCUCUAGUCCUCAAUAGUUCACGUGAUGCCUACGGUGACACAAUUUAAGAAUCAGUCGUGCAUAUAGAACGUUUCAAUAAACAAUCAAUUACAUCCUAAAAUAACCAAGCAGAAAAUGUAAUUGCAGGAAAGAACUAAUUGCUUUCCAAAUUAAUUCUGAUCUACAUCCCAUAUAUAUAAGUAUGGCCGAAACAGAAACCUAGCACUGAAAACCCCACGUUCAAACAUAGGAGCAACCAUUGUGCUCCUAGGAAAAAUAUGGGCACUACAGCUCUGUUCUUGGUGACCACCGUGGUCAUGGCCAUGGUCUUCUCACCCUACCUUGUGCAAGGACUAAAAGGUUGUGCAUACAUUAAUUCCUUUGUAUUUUCUUUUACUUUUCACCAGGCAUAUAUUCAAUAUCAACUAUGAAAGGAUGUCUAUAUUACUACAUUUUAGUUUUGUGAUGGUGCAGAAAAUUGUAUUGACUUGCAUGGAGGGAAAUGCGAUAAAGAAACGUGCUCCAAGGUUUGCAAGGCGAAUGGGUAUGUCGACCCAGUUGUGAAAUGCUCGAAUCCCCGAGGCAAAAGUGGCCAGUGUUGUUGUUUUGUGAAAUGCUGUGGGGGGAGAGGGCUUGAUUCCAAGCCGGCUAUGAGAGUAUGAGACUCACAAUGGUGGCUAGUUAUAUGCUUGCGUGACAUGAAUGAUUGAUUGAAAGAUGUCAUAAUCAUAAUUUGAAUAAAUAGCUUGUUAUCAGUAUUCUCCCUGGUUUCUUCGCUCACGACAAGGUCUUCCAAAUAAAUCUUUGACUCUGAUUUCUCAUUAUAUAUAUGUACAAAAGAUCAGGCAAAGAACUUGUAGUUCGUUCUUCCUCCUUGAUGCACGAGUGACCGAGAAUAGCUAGCUCGUGGGCUGAUUACAGAAACAAAACUAAGAAACGAAGACGAAACAAAAGACUUGAUUUCCUCCACCAAAUGUCCAACUGCGGUAUCAUAAAAAUCGACAUCGGAGUUGAUCGCUCGAACCGCCUUCAGAGAAUCAGAUUCCACAAUAAUGAGGUGUCCAAUGCCCAGAUCGAUAGCCGUUUGAAUCCCCAGGAUAUGUACAAGCGAGGAGCUUUGCAUGUAAGGGGUUUGACAGAUGAUCAACCUUUCCUCUGCUGGCUGAAACAACAUCACCAUCACUAUCCCUAAUCACAAAACCCCAAUUGCCCGAUCCUGAUGAGGCAGCCAAGAAGGAACCGUCGCAAUUCAGCUUAGGAGAACCCGGCUAUGGAUGGUUUGCCGGACCGCCAACAGUAGUGUUCGUCUCGCCCUUCAGAGAACAGUUCUGCCUCCGCAACAUAAGCUUUCGUGCUUCUGGCAAUCAAUUCAGCGCGCUACGCCUGCGUCCCUCUUCCCUAAUGUUGUUUCGUUCAUUCCAUAAAUUCCAAGUUGCAGUAACAAUCAUCGAACGCCGAUUUUCCUUUUCUUUUCAGAAUAACAAAGCAGUCAGCUGCAUCCCGAGGAGUCGAGGACAAUGAAGCUUUGCCAGCUCUGAUCUCUCCAUCUCCAGGUUCAGUAAUCCCCAAACUUGCUUUGCUACCUUGCACUUGAAGAACAGGUGCCCUCCAUCCUCUCCAACGCUAUUACAGGUUGCACAUCUUUCCUCAAUCUUCAUGCCUCGGUGGAAAAAAAAAGGUUGCUUCUGAGGGGGUGUGAAUUGUGUUUCAUACGAUACGCCAAAGGAAAUGCUUCAGCUUAUUUGGGCACUUGAGUUGCCAAAUUCUUUUCCAAACUGGAUCAGGGGCGUUGCUGCUCCCUCCAUGCGCAUGCGCCCCUGCAGUGCAUUUUCAAGCUCAUUUUAAGCCUUGUUUAGUUCUGAAUUUUUUUUGGUUUUCGGAACGGUAGCACUUUCGUUUUUAUUUGACAAACAUUGUCCAAUCAUAGAGUAACUAGACUUAAAAGAUUCAUCUCGCAAUUUACAGGUAAACUGUGCAAUUAAUUUUUAUGUUCGUCUAUAUUUAGUGCUCCAUGCAUGUGCCGCAAGAUUCGAUGUGACGGGAAAUCUUGAAAAGUUUUUAGUUUUUAGGGUGAACUAAACAAGGUCUUAAUAAAAGUUCAGCAGAGGACAACCCCUCCUAUUUUAUAUAUUAAAAAAACGACCGGGAGAUCACCAACGUCUUAUGCUUGCUGCCAGAGUGCCAGGCCCAGGAGUAGGCAGGCAUCUUCGGUUUAGGGGACAGUCCAAUCAGUGUUAAGAAACUAGUGAUUACGUUUGCUAAGAUUCUAGUCAAUAACGGCAAGCUGAAGCUGAACCCAAGGUCAGGGCAGAACAACAAUAUAUUCCUUUUUUUUUCUCCUGUUCUGGCGUCGAGAGUCGAGAGGGGAGGGAGGGAGAGAGGUAGGCGAGCACUCUAGUGCCGAUUCACAUGGCGGAACAGGAAGCUAGUGUCUGUGUUCAAGCGAUCGGGUGCUCGAGGGGGGAUUUCCCCCAAACGUACCUUGGAUUGCCGCUGUCAGUGAACAAAUUACCACUUACCGCCUUCACCCCCUACAUCCAAAAAACUGACAGAAGGCUAAGCUCAUGGCAGGCAUUCCUUCUAAACAAGAUGGGCAGAGCCGUGCUAAUUAACUCUGUACUCGAUUCACAGCUGGUAUAUAUCAUGGGCUCGCUACAAAUCCCUCCUGGGGUAGUUUCUCUAAUGGAUAAAACCAGGAAAGCUUUUCUCUGGG